CCGUGCGCCCGUCGCCGUCCCGCUGUCCGUCGCUCGCUGCCGCUCCUCCCUCCGCGCGAUCCAGCCAACCCAGCUGCUGUUCCGCACCGACCAGCCACUGUCCGGCCACCUCCGGCCACCGCAUAGCCCCGCCGGACCUCCCCCGCAACCCCCUCGCCCUCCGCCGGCUUCCCCUUGCCGCCCUAGCCGCCGGAGCAGCCCCGAUCAGCCCCGACCAGCAGACCCACGAAGUGGGUUUCCAGCACUUCGGGCCCGCUUUUGGACCAUUUCCCGGCCCCGAACCCGAGCCGUGCUUUGGGAACAAUCGUUCCUCGCGUCGCCGCCGUCGGAUUGAUCCGAUUUGCGCGCGAUUUGGUGAGUAAUCUCACUAAUCCAGGAUUAGUUGGCUAAUUAUGCUUGGUUUAGAUUUAAUUAAUUAUGUUUAGGUUGUUAGAUUAGAAUAAAUUAGCAAUUAUUAGUCAAUUGUGAUGUGAUUUAGAUAAAUUGAUUGUGUAAUUAGCAAGUAGACGUGGUCUACUAAUUAUUGGAAGUGCUUCGGGAAUUUUCCCGACCCUUAGUGGGCUCCAAUUAGGCUUUUCGGGCCUAAGUGGAUAUUUUUAGUAUUUAAAUAUUAAUUUUCGAAAUUAAAUUAAAUAAUUAUUUAUUUUCCGAAAAUUCAAGGGAGAUGGUUCGGAACCGAAAUAUUGUGCUGAUGACUGUGGUGAAGUCCGUUUAUUUAAUCGGGCUUUAAUUUGAGCUAAAUGGGAUUUUUAAUAUUAAUUAUUUAAUAUUCGAAAUUAAUUAAUUAAUUAUUUAUUUUCCGAAAAUUCAACUGAGAUGUUCUGAAACCGGAAUAUUGUGCUGAUGACCGUGGUGAAGUCCGUUUAUGUAAUAGAGCUUUAUUUUGAGCUAAAUUGAAUUUUUAAUAAUAAUUAUUUAAUUUUCGAAAUUAAUAAAUAAAUUAAUUAUUUUUCGGAAAUUAAGAUUUUGAUGGCCGAUGACCGAAAUCUCGUGCUGAUCGUCGUGGCGCAGUCCGUUUAUUUAUUUGAGCUCCACGUUGUAUGGAAUUGAAUAAAUUGUGAUAUUUUAGGGAUUUACCCUAAAUUGAUUGGAAUCGAUUGAGAUUGAAUUAUCGAUUGGUGAAUGGCCAAGUAUGUUUAUUCAGCAUUUAUAAUGCUUUGUUGAGUUAAUUUAAUUAUUUGAUUGAGUAUUGAUUGGUGAAUGGCCAAGUAUGUUUAUUCAGCAUUUAUAAUGCUUUGUUGACUUGAUUUAAUUAUUUGAUUGAGAAAUCGUUGGGCAUUGGUUGUCGAUAUUGAAAGUGAAUUGGUAACCACUGCAAAGAGGACACGUGGUUCGGUGAAUUGGAAUGUCACCUGGAAAAUGCACGUGAGUUCAGUAGUUGAAUAUGUCAUCUUGGCGAAAAGGUCGCCUGAGAGAAUGCACGUGGCUCGGAGACUCGGUAUGUCGUCCUGGAGAAUGCACGUGGCUCGGUGACAGAAUUGGGCAUCUAAAAGGGCACGUGGGCUCGGCGACUUGAUGCAUCGCUUUGGUGAAAUGCACCUGAGAGAAUGCAGGUGGGCCCGGGCAUCUAAAAGGGCACGUGGGCUUGGCGACUUGAUGCAUCGCUUUGGUGAAAUGCACCUGAGAGAAUGCACGUGGACCCGGGCAUCUAAAAGGGCACGUGGGCUCGGUGACUUGAUGCAUCACUUUGGCGAAAAGGUCGCCUGAGAGAAUUCACGUGGGCCCAAGGUUCGAGGCACGUGAACUCGGAGACUUGGAAUGUCGUCCUAGAGAAUGCACGUGGCCUCGCUUUUAGAUACUCCUCCGUGGAGAGUGAUUUGUAUGACAUGUAAUCGACUGGUUCGAUUUGUUUUGAGUAAAUGGAUGCCUAUUGUGAAUUGUACUGACUUGCAGGUGAGAUCUGAGGCCAAGGUAAGUCCUCUGCCCUGUGCGUGUUUAGGCAGCCUUUAGUAUAAUAGUUUACUAAUCGGGCUUAGUGGGGUAGAACUCGCUGAGACGUAGUCUCAUCCCAGUUUGGGGAAAACCAUUUCAGGACCCCGCUGAAGAGCUGAGGAGGAGGAAUCCGAGAAGGAGAACUCAGAGGUGAGAUCUGAAGAAAAGGAUUUUUGGAAGAAGAAGACAAUUCUGAGAGGGGCCUUGAGUACGGCCUAGUUCAUCUAAGUUUCUGUUUUCUUUUGUGAUCUCCGUUUUGAUGUGAAUAGUUUUGAAGUGGUUUGUGUUUUGUAUAAAAGUUUGGUUAUAAAUUUCAAUAUGAAAAAUAUGGCCCUGCUUUUCUAUCCCAUUGAUUUAUUGUCUGGGGAUUUUAACUGCUUCCGCAUGUGCUUAAUAAAUGAAAGGGUCGGCGAUACUAGUCCUGGGAUAUCGCAUUAUAAAAUCGACCAAAUGCAAAGGAUGUGUGCGUGCCCGAAGAUCGGGGUGUGACAGCUUGCAAAUCAUCGCCCAAGUCUAGGUGAGAUCUAGGCAAGGGCUUGCAGGCCCUUGCCCAUUCCCCAUGAGGACUACCGCAUAAUUCCAACUGAUUUAUGGGUGCUUUUUUUCCCUUCUUUACCUAUCCAGCUUGGGUUAUUUUCCUUCAUAUGGAAACUGUCAAUCAACAAUAUCUAUUCAAACAAAAAAAAUUAAAAGCUCACAAUAGUUUUUUCGAUCACACAAAUUGAACGGAUUUUACAUUAGUAUUUGAUUGUAUUUUUGGGUAAAUUUGGAAAUUUGAUUACAUAAAUUGAAAGUAUUUAGUAUUUAGGACUUGAUUGUAUUUUUGUUAUGAGUAUUGGGAAUUUGAAUGUAAUUUCUCCCAUGAUUUUAUCUCAAGAGAGAAAAAUGAAAAGGUACGUAUGCAUAGUGUAUAUAUGAUUUGCUCCACAGUUAAGCAUGCUUAACGUUACCAGGACCAAUCAAGUGAUAGACAUGAGAAUGGUGGUGUGGUUGGACCUGAGCAACCCACACCAUCCCCCAUAUUUAAUAGGGAAUAAACAGAUUGCAAUCACAAAAAACAAAACUAGGCUAUCAUGAUGAAAUUUUGAAUGGUAUAAAACAAUGUCUACCUAAAGUGGAAAGAUAUUGGUAACACAUACAAUUAAGAAAUUGGAAUCAAGCACGAGCCAGUCAAAUUAAUUUGCCAAAAGAAAUGCAGACUAUACUCAAGCACAUAAAAAAACUAGCAAAUGCUUCUGCAAGUUACGUAGGAAUCAAAUGACAAAUAAUAUAGGUGUACCCCUCCCAGUUCUGCAGAAGCGGAACAACUUGCAGCAGUAAAAGGCCGUCAGCGCCCAUACAAAUAAAAUGAAGUACAAUGCAAACUAGGGAAAAGAGAAAAGCAGAACCGGCCGGUUCCAUCGAUCCUGUCCGUUGGUCCGAUUUCGCAGAAGGAAUCGGAACCAGACGGUUAUUGUUGGUUCCUAUCUUCAUGCUUGAACUUUUUAGAUCAAUGAUCACUAUGAGGUCUCUAUGCAACUUGACCUCGAUCGCGAGAAUAUAUGAUGCUUAAAUUGUCAAAACUGUUCUCUGAAUUGAAGAAACCCAAAAGAAAAUGCCGGUCCAAGGGUGAAUAGGAUUGAUUCCCAAUCCUACAGAUUGGGAGCUGACUUUAUUUGUUCCAAUUCUUAGUUUCAAGAAGGAAACUAACCUGUCUCAGAAUCGAUCACCCCUACACAUACAAUGAUUUCAUGUCAAGAGGCGCCACAUUAACAAAAGUCCCAAAAGAUUUGAAGAGAAAAAACAAAACUAGUACAUCGCUCUCGCUGCCUCCCCCACUUUCGCUGGCAGAAGCAUCACAAGGAUCUGCGAGACUACAACUUUUGCUAACCACCCUUGCAUGGUGGUGGGACCACCACUUGCCACCACCCCACUUGCCACCACCACACAUGGGUUGGUCAAGCCUCAUCCAACCAUCACCCCCUCGAAGCAAGAGUCGACCAGCCCUUAUGGAGUGAUAGCACCGGUGGGGUCUCGCUGCAAGCUGCUAUUUAAACGUAAACCCUCGAGAGGCUAAUUCAAUAAACCACCCCCGGGAUCCCCACUUAAGUUGCGAGCAUACAGAGAUUUGAACUCAUUCCUUGGCAAUGAGGUAGUAAAAUCCAACCAUCACGGCUACCUAUAGGUGGAUUUUUCUUCCCUUCUUUAUCUUUCUAUCUUAAGUUAUUGUCCUUCAUGUGGAGUGUCAAUCAACAAUACAUCUAUUCAAAAUAUUUUUAAAAACUCACGGCAGUUUUUCGGUCACUCAAAUUGAACAGAUUUAAUAAAAGUAUUUAAUUGUAUUUUUUGGGUAAGUUUGAAGACUUGAUUAUGUAAAUUGGAAAUAUUUCAGACUUGGUUGUAUUUUGUUAUGAGUUAUAGAAAUUUGACUAUAAUUUGUCCCUUGAAUUUAUUCCGAGAGAGAAAAAUGAAAAGGUACAUAUGCAUAUUGUGUCAUAUGAUUUGCUCCACAGUUACGCAUGCUUAACGGUACCAGGGCCAAUCAAGUGAUGGGCAUGAGAAUGGCGGAGUGGUUGGAUCUGAGCAACCCACACCGUCCCCCACAUUUAAUAGUGAAUAAACAGAUUGCAAUCACUAAAAAAAUAAAAUAAAAAAUAAAAAGGGAUAUCAUAAUGAAAUUUUGUAGCUUUGGCCCAGUUUCUUCGUCUUAAUUGCCUAUCGCGACCAAAUUUUAUAAUCGUGGUACAUUCGCCACAAUGAAAAAAAAAAUUGGCAGGAAAGACGAACCACUACAAUAAAGAUUUUCACCCAAACAACUACCAAAUUUUGUCCUUGUCCCUCUCCUCUCCCCCAAAAUAAUUGGGUUAAGGCCACUUGAAAAUAGGUUAAAGGUUUGAACUUAAUCAAAUUAUAGGAUUUUUAGAGUACUUUAUGAAAUCAAAGUUUAAACCAAACCAGUUCACGAGACUUAUAAAGUGUUUAGUAAGAAUUCAAGAUAGUUAAGACCUCUAUGGCUGCGCCCUAGAUUGUGUAAAAACAAAAUUUGUUUGCAUAGUUUUAAGUUUCAAUGACAUAUGGCUUUCUGACAUUGUAUUAAAGUGUUGAUCAUGAGCUAAAAUCCUCACAUCCGUUAGACACUAUAUGUAAACAAAUCCUAUUCAAAUCCAGUGUUCGAGUGAUAACGGAUUUGUGCUGCAGCAUCUUUUUAUUUGCUAAUUGAGACCAAAACCGACUAGCAUGGAAGAAAGCAUGUAAAUCGAAGAACAUAGGACCACGCAUGCAUAAUAUAAACUUGGGGCAUGAAGGACUCCAAGGCUUGGUUCUGACACCACAUUAACAAGUCCAACCCAAAUACAUAAAUUAUUAAGUGGAAAGAAAGUCCAAUCAAAUCCAUUAGUCAAAUAAUGUGAGAUAAUAUUUCAGCAAUUUAGCUCAAUCAUUUCUAGUAUUAUAUCAAAUUAUAAGGAGAACGUUGCAUAGAAGCAUUGGAUAAAUGAUGGAAUUUGCUUUUUCUCUACCUAGAUUCAGCGACAACUACGGCAAGGACAAAACUGAAUAAGAUGGAAAAGGCAAAAUCUAUUUUGUUAGCACUUGUCUUCCAUGAUGACCAAACUUAAGAAGCUUCGGGUGGCUCAUUUCUGGUUUGACGUAGGAAAAAGCUGAAAGUGACGGAUAAAAGAGAUGAAUGUCUCGGCAUAAAAUAAAAUAAAAAACCGACCGACUGAACAUUUAUAAGCCAAAUGGAAAGUUCUUUCCAAAAGCAUUGGGCUUUGACAGAUCAGCCAGAAGGGAGGUGCUAUUGAGCAGCCAGACAGCACACGUGGUAAUUGCACUAAGUGCACAUGUUGAGCCAAAAGAAUGUAGGCGUCACGCGUGUCAAGACAACAUUUUUUUUUCAAAGAAACAAAAUUAAAUUAGCUUGAGCGUCAUUUGGAAAUUUUUGUUGACUGCGUGCUUAGUUAAACAAAUCAUAAUGCGCGACCUACAAAAGGGUCAAAAGGGUUUAGCAUCCUCUAAAGUCAUGAUAAAAAGUUUUUCCAUUUGAUAUGAUCAAAUUGCCCCAAUUUCUUCAUUGAACUUAACCGAAAAAACUCCGACCCAAGCCCUAGUAUAUCCCCACCUCUCUCUCUCUCUCUCUCUCUCUCUCUCUCUCUCUCUCUCUCUCUCUCCACCCCUCCACGAUACCACUUCCGUAACACCACUUGUGUCGCAGUAUCUUGCCAUCUUUCGGAUCUUGAUUCGUGACUAAACCCAUUAAACGGGUGACUUAGGUCAGAUUUGGGUUUGACUCGCUCCAAAUUAUUUUAAUCCAUUUUGUCUCAUUUUCAUAUAGUACAAACAUAGUGACCCACACCCAACCCAACUUGAACCGUACUUAUACAUAUACCCAAUCUGAUUCAUAUUAAUAAUCUAUAUUUAACCAAAUCUCAAAUUGAGAUGAGAAUGAGCAAGUAUAAGAUCAAAUGAAAAUAAGAGAGAAUCAUAAGGAAGAGUUGAGUCUAAAUCAGUGGUGAACUCAUUUAGUAUCCAUAUUAUUUUGAAUUUCACUACUCUAAACUCAUUUAUGACUUAUUUAUUGAAUAACUAACUCAUGUAAUAAUUAUAUGAGUUUGGAAAUGAAUUUAUGCCCCUUUUUGACGGAUCUAAUUGUAAUUUCAAAUAUUGCAUCGCCUAAUGGCGGCAAGAGUAGGCUCACAACCCGAGAUCUAAUCUUGUAAGCCUAGCCGAGGGUGGGGGAAGAGCAAUGAUGGGUCUUGGUGGCAAGGGCGGGGGCGACAGGGGGCUUGGACAAAUGUGGAGCGAACCUCCGACGGAGGCCUGUCGUGGGACAUGGAUCGUUGUUGCUUCUGUGCUCUCUAUUUCUUCGGUUUUUGGGCAAAGUUUGUUCAUGGGUCAGAAAAUAGAGGCGGACAAAAAGGGAGAAGAGGGGAAGGGAAAAAGGAAAGAAAAAUAGGAAAUAAAUUUAAGCCGUUUAACCAGCCUAAUGAUAUCAAUCUCUCAACUUGUAACAUUCAAAUGCAAACUUUUCCUCAUUUUGCAGGAUCCCAGUGGGGAUGUCCAAACUCCGCAUGCCCAUGUUGUGAUGUAUUGGCCAAAAAGAAAAUUGCUAAGGGUUAUUCUAUUUUGUCAGUCAAAUGAAAAUGAUUAUUAAUGGAUGGAACUACCAUGUUAUCCCACUAAUCAUCUUUUUAUAAUAGAUGCAUGUUCACAUGGUAUUGGGAGAAAUUACCAAGGAAGCCAUAAACCAAUUGCAUUUAUGCAAAUUCAGUCUUGAACAUUUCAAUUUAUCAAUUUAGUCAUAAAUAUUUUCAUAAUUUAUUAAUGUAGUCCAUCAAGUCAAUUUUGACCAAAAAUCACUAAUGUGAUUGCCAAUCAUCAUACGUAGCACAACAAACAUUGUCAUGAAUAAUUUUUGAAAGUUUUUUAUAAUUUUUCUGAAUUUUUUUAAUAUUUUCCUUUCUUUUCUUCUUUCUUUUUCUUUCCUUCUCUUUUUGUCGACCAAGUGUAACUAAUGGUGAGGGCCUUCCUCCCUAGAUCUAGCGAGGGCAAGGCCUGGUGAGUCUACUUUAGCCUGCUUGUCGAGCCUCUCUUGGGUGAGGGCGAGCACCAAUGAGGGGCCCCAUCACUAGAUCUAGCUAGCCUCAUCAAGCCUCUCUAGCCAUCACUUGUGUUCGAUGGCCGAUUGCAAAAAGAAAAGGGAAAAAUAAAGAAAAAAUUUGUAAGAAGUAUUCACAUUAGUGUCAGCUGUCUCAUGUCAAUCGUGCCACAUAGAAUGACCAUAAUCCACAUUAGCAAUUUCUUGUCAAAUUUGGCUAAAUAUAUUACAUUAGCAAAUCAUCAAAAUGUUAAUAACUCAGUUGGCCUAAUUGAAAUGUUUAGUAUUGAAUUGACAUAAAUACAAUAGGUUUAAGACUUUUUUGGUAAACCAAAGAUGUGAGGCAAGACUACCAAGGUAGUGUAUGACUCCCAUCCACAUCAUCUAUUGUACCAAUCGUCAUUUCAUAAUAGAUGCAUGUACACAUGGUAUUAUGUUAUCUUGCUGUUUUAUUACUGACAUAAUCAAUGUUACUAUACAUCCGGUGACAAGAAUGUGGUCAUCAAUACAAGUGACAAUAUAUCGCUUCACUCUCUAAAAGAUCAGUAAAAUGCAAGACAACUAAAUUUCAUUGAAGAUUACGGAAAUAAAGCCACUUCUGGGUGAACGAGAUUGCGGAGCCUAGAUGAUGUGAAAUUCAUUAUGUCUACAAGUUGUGAACAACAGUGCCAUGGCGUCAAGCUUCGCGCGAUCGAAAUCUUUUAAUAUAUCUAGCAUUGCUCAAAUUAUGCUCACUCGGCCAAAAAUAAAAAGCUGCGCAGAGAAACUUCUCCGAUUCUUUUUGUUGAAUGAAGGGGUUGGCGAGGCUACGUUGGCCAGAGAGUCUGAUUUCUGAACCUAUUGCUUUCCCUAGGCGAUGUAACCAUUAAUUACGUCUAAUUGAAAAAAAAAAAAAAAAGGACGAGAAAGCAAAGCUUUUACAGAAAAAGAGAUCAUGGAGGAUAUCCCUAAGACUUGACACAAAAUUACUUAAAAUGAAUGCAACCUACAUGCAAUUCUAAUUACAUAGAAUAUGGUCGAUGAUAAAUUAAUCCUAUUAAUUAAACUACGAGUGAUUAAUUAUUUGUGUGUUUUCUUUUUAACAAAUAAAAAAAACUAAACUCUAGGGCACCUAUCGGGACCUAAUUAACUUUAAUUAAAAAGAAAAGUGACCUAUUGAUGCAACGCUACCUCUUUAUCUUGGUAUUUAAUGUUUAUGAAAAAUUAAACUAUAUGCAAUGCAUGGGAUGAGCCAUCUUUGAGAUUUUCUUUGCAAGUUAAAUUAGAAAACUACCUAACGUAUAUAAUAACUUAAUUUAAAUUAGGGAAUAAUUAAUAUUAUAUCCUAACUUGAAUCAAGUAAUUUCAUAAUCACUACUCGGUUCCUAAGAUUUGCAAUUUUAAGUUAGGAAACUUAGUGGCACGUUAUCCUAAAUGUCUUUUUUUUUCCUUGUAUUUUUCAUAUUCAUAAUAGGAAUGACAUGUAAUACUAAAGCCCACGUGAUUAAGUAUUCACCACAUCCAAUGGAGGAUAUAAUGGUAAUCGGGGAUUUGAUCUUAGGUCUUUAAGAUCGAAAAUCCAAUUAUAUGUACGACUCGAAAGAGGGAAUUUCCUAUUUAUGAUAUGCCUAAAAUCUUCAUCAAACCAAACUUAGAAUCUUGAUACACGCAAUUUAAGCAAUUAAGUAUUGAAAUUGAUAAUCGUUUUAGGGAAAUUACCUAAAUUGAGACCCCAAAUACAAACACAACUAGCUAAGGGUAUUAAGCAACUAGCAAGGCCAAGAAUGGGAAAAUUGUCCAAAAAGUCCUAACUUAUUACAUUUUUACCAAUUCAAUUAUAAACCUUUCAAUUUUACCAAUUGAAUCCUAAACCUUUCAACAUUUUGUCAAUUGAGUCCAUCUAGUCAAUUUUGACCAGAAUUCGCUAACAUAGACAUUGACCGUCUCACGUAGCAUAGCCAAUACCGGCGUGGAUAAAAUUGAUUAUUUUUUAAUCUGUUUCAAUUUUUAAUAAUUGUAUAUAUUUUAAAUUUCUUUUUUCUUUUCUUCUCUUUUUUUUUUUUUUCUUUUUCUUCCUCUAGUCGGUCGCCCAACCUCCAAUGACUGUCCAGAGGCCAUGAAUGGCGAGUUGCUGAUCUAGUUAGGGGCAACCUCCCUAUCCUCAAGUGAGGCUCGUCCUUGCCAAAGGCCAACAAGGCGCUAGAUCUGGUAAGAGCCGACUAUGAAGGCGACCUCGCCAACCUUGGGCAAGGCUCACCUUCGCCAAAUCUAGUGAGAGCGAGCCUUGCUUGUGGUCGGCGAAGUCACCUCUCACCAAAUCUCAGUGAAGGUGACCUCACCUCAAGCCCGUGAGACCAACCGUCAGUAGACUUGGGCGAGGGUGAGCCUUCCCAAGGCUGACAAGGUUGCCCCUCACUAGAUCUUGGCGAGGGCGACCUCACCUAAGGCCAACUCUUGUCGAUUGUGGCCUUUGGUUGUCACCAGAGGUUAGGCAACGAAGACGAAGAAGAAGAAGAAGCAGAAGGAGAAGAAGGAGAAGGAGGAGAAGGAGAAGGAGAAGCAGAAGCAGAAGGAGAAGGACAAGGAGAAGAAGGAGAAGCAAAAGGAGAAGUAGAAGGAGAAGGAGGAGGAGAAGGAGAAGAAGAAGGAGAAGGGAAUUAAAAACAUUAAAAAAUAAUUUAAAAUUUAAAAAAAAAUAAAAAAAAAAUUAAUAAAAUUUGUUUACAUAAGCGUAAGCGUCCAUGUUAGUAAAUUCUAGCCAAAAUUGAAGAAGAAGAAGAAAGAGGAGGAGGAGGAGGAGGAGGAGGAGAAGUAGGAGGAGAAGAAGAAGGAGGAGAAGAAGAAGGAGGAGGAGAAGGGAAUUAAAAACAUUAAAAAAAUAAUUUAAAAUUUCAAAAAAAAUAAAAAUAAAUUAAUAAAGUUUGUUUACAUAAGCGCUAGCGUCCAUGUUAGUAAAUUCUAGCCAAAAUUGGCUGAAUAGACUCAAUUAGCAAAAAGUGAAAAUGUUUAAGACUCAAUUAGCAAAGUUGAAAGUUUUAAGACUGAAUUAGCACAAGUGCAAUAAAUUUGAGACUUUUUAGACAAUUUUCCUAGCCAAGAAGGGUAGCAGUGACAAUGGACAGGUGGUGGCAAGGAGUCUGGCAAGGGCUCAGUCGUUAGGCAACAUCAAGUAAUCACAUUAGGACAACGAGAUUCACAAUGGUGUGGCAAGAGGCGGCAAACAGUAACAUCAGGGACUAUGGACAUCGCAAGGGAUCUAUAGAUCUUUGAUGUUCCAAUCCAUUAGUGGGUUGAGGAAAUUGAUGGUGAAUACGACUCUCUAGCAGUCCGAUUUGCUCCUUCAUAGACAUAUUUUAAAAUAUUAUUCCUCAUCUCACCGGAAAAAUUUAAAAAUAAUGACUAAGCAUACUCUCCACAAAAAUUGAGAGCGAUCCAACAAUUAAUGAAUGCGUAUUUGUUAAUUUCAUGAAACUACGCACUAAAAUUUUUCUGGGGCCGCAGGAGAGAGAGCUCGUGUGUGUAUGACUUUUGUUCACUCUUGUGUCUUUUUUUGCUUUUUAUUGUGUAUUGCCAACCUCUAACUGUGAAUCUUCUCUAACGGGUCUUGAGGAUAUCCCUAUUUCCUGUGCUAGGUUACGUGAUCUUUUUUACUAGGAUAUUAGAGUAUACGCUCUUUCUUUUUUCCCUAUAAUCAAAAUUUGACACUAUAAAGCUCAAUUAUCCCCGAGAUUGCUUCAAUAAAUUAAAAUUUCCUAAUUUGAGAUGCCACGUUUGCUAGGCACAUGUAUAUUCGGCCACUUUAGAAGAACUUUGGGCUUGUCAAAAUUUUGUGCUUCUGCAGGCUUAAUAGAUAAUUCAAUUAAACUCAAAGUCUCAUCACAGGUUAUGGGGACUUAUUACUAUUAAUUGAAAAAUAGUUCUAGUAUGCCAAUGCAACUUAAAAACACUUUGUUGAGGGAUCAAGGUUGAUUCCUAAUUUUCUAUGUAAUAAAUAACUGAAUGAAUUGCCAAUAUUUAGUUGUCAACAGGUUACGGCUGCACUCUUAAAUUUCCUUAUCACCUAUUUGCAUGCCAAUCUCAUCCACAACCGAUUAUAGCUUCCAAGGCCACUAGGCCACUUAAUUAUCGCUUGGUAUCCUUACCUUCAAUCGAUAUUCUAGUCCUCGUGUCCUCCCCAUGCUUCCAAUACUUAGCCAAAUUUUAGGAUAGCUAAGUCUUGCAAGCUUUGCCGAUGAACUUUGUCAAACACCUCUCAACUAAUUAUCGAUGUCGAUUCCAUAUAGUCAUCGAUAAUUCUUGUUCAUUGAUAUUAACAUUCAUGUCAUGUCGAUCAUUUUAUGGCUUGAAGCAUAUUCAUUGACCUAUCUUCUCAAUCAAUCGCACUUCAAUGCUCAUUGCUAGUUGUUUUGUAUGGUUGUCAGGAGCCACACAUUUUGAUCAUCGAUAGAUUGGUUUUGUAAUUGUCAAUAACCACAUCAUGUAAUUAUUGAUGACUAUGCUGGUCACAUCAAGCAAAGUCGAUCAACCUACUAAAUCUACUGGGGGGGGGGGGGGGGUGUAAACAGCUGACGGUUCUUUACCCAAUAAAGGAGAGAGCAUGGUAGGAAAUAUACAAAUAAAGCAAUGUCCAAUCCAUAUUUAUUAGUUCCAAGAACAAAAAUGGACAACAAUUGACUAAACUAAUUAUGCAGUACCUUUCGCGUAUCUACUUUGACCAUUAGAAAAAUGAAAAGGUAACCAUCCUUAAGUACUAAAUAUAGAAUGUCCCAACUCUAAUUAUCCAUAAAGCCAAGGCUUUUUUGCUAUCUUCAAAGGAAAUAAAAAUGGCGGUGGGCAUGUUCAAGAUUUGUUUGUGCCUAAUACUGAUAUUGUUUUCGCUUCCAAGCUCCCGUGCACGAGCUCCCCACAUCGUGAAGCAAGGGAAGACACUUAGGAUGCUCGUGCGAGCAUUACGUGAAGACUAUGGAAAGGUAGAUAUCAUGCAAGGAAGCCACUACGAGCUUAUGAGGGCGAGUCCCAGAGGUCCCAAUCCGCAACAUCAUUGAAGUAAUAAGCAGUGGAUCAAUCGAACAAGACGAACACCCCCUUCUUCUAUAUGCGAUAGCGUCCUGGGAAGCAUGAGAUCAUGCUCUCGUUUCUUCAUUGUCUCUCCGAAUUCUACUGUCAUUUUCUAAUGUGAUUCCAUAGUAGGGUUUUCACGUUGAGUUGUCGAUGGAGUUUGUGGGAAUGGCGAGGAAUAGUACUGCAUGUGAUGUGUUUAUCAUAAGCGGACUUACACUAGUAAAACAUUAACUAGAUGCUAUUGACUAAUCGUUGAGCUUUUGAAUCUUGACAACUUGGAGAAGAUCUAAGGUAGUGGAGCCAAAAGAGCUAUGAUGUCAUCAAAUAUGAAUGUGCACAAGUAUUUUCGUUCUAGGGUGUCAUUGUCCGAAAAUAAAACCAGGACCACAUGAUGUAAAUUUGAAGUCCACGGAAUGGCAACGUCGCCAUGCUUUUUACACUGCGACGAGCCCUCACCAAACUGUGUAUUGAGCAAAUAAAAAAUAAGCACAACCAACCCUUAGCAUAGAUUAGGGCCAAAAGAGAAAAAUUUUAAAAAGAGAUGACCGAAUAUGUUAAAGGUCCUUUUCACAUAAAUGUAAACGCGUUGUCUUCUGCGAUGAUACUUUAGAUGCGUUAAUCUAGUCUAUAUGCUCGGUCAGAAAAGAGGUUCACUAUGAAGUAUCAUUGGUUGUGGAUCUAGCAUCCACUAGUGGAAGAAAAAUUUGUUUGUCCGUACGUCAUUUCGUAUCACUCAUACCACUUUCAUAAUGGCAAAAUAUUAAAUCAAAAAGGGAGUUGGAUGGACACCGUUUUCAUAUUUCCACCAAGAAGUGACAUUUGUGGAUAAACGCAAUCAAAAUCAUAAAACAUGCAAAGAAAAAGCAAUUUAGUUUUAAAAAAAAUAAUUUACACAAUUAAGUACUAAAAGUUGGCCGAAAAGUGCAAUCAAGUAUCUCUGUUAUCACUGUCCAAUUUGAGUGACAAAAAAUAUUGAAUUGGCAUUUGUCAACAUUUUUCAGGAUCACAUAAAUAGGGGUGAGCACCAGUUCCAAGUCAAUUGGGAACGGCCCAAAUCAGGCGAUUUUCAGUUGCUCCCACAUAAACUGGUCCGCUUAUCGAUUCCACAAAAUUGGAAACGGCAAUAAUCAGUUAAGUUCCCAGUGCGGAGCAAACCAAUGGAAAUGGCCUGGUCCUUUUUCUACUUUUCGAGUUUGCAUUGUACUUCAUUUUCUAUGAAUGACUUAUGGCUCGGUGGCCUUUUACUGCUGCAAGUUGUUCAACUUCUGCAAAACUGGGAGGGGUACACCUAUAUUAGUUGAUUCCCAAGUAACAUGCAGAAGCACCGGCUACUUUUUUGUGCGCUUGAGUAUUGUCUGGAUUUCUUUUGUCAAAAUAAUGUGACUAGUUCAUUCUUGAUUCCAAAUUUUUUAAUCGUAUGUUUUACCAGUAACUAUCGAGUUUAGUAGACAUCAUUUCAUCCCUGUUAAUGAGGAUAUUGAUGCUUGCACCAAUGAUCACUAUGAGUUCCCCAUGCAACUAAAUCUUGACAACGAAGAUGGAUGAUACUUAAAUUGUCAAAACAGUUCUUUUGAAUAGAACGAAUUCAAAAACAAAAAACCACUAGUCCUAGGUUAACCCUCAAAACUUGAUCAAAUCGGUCCAAUCCUCUGGGGUCAAUGGGGUUGAUUCCUGAUUCUACAAAUUGCGAAUUGAUUAUAUGUUGUCCGAUUCCUAAUUAUAGAGUGGAACCAACCUAUAUUGGAAUCGACCACUCAAUAUAUAAACAAUGAUUUGAUGUCAAGAGGUACCACAUUAGCAAAAGUCCCAAAAAAAAAGAAAAAGAACUAGAACAUUGCCCUCACUGCCCCCAACCUUCAUUGAUAGACAUUAUCCCUAACAUAGGCAUCACAAGGAUCGAUGAGACAGCAACCCUCGCUAGCCACAAGGACAAACAGCCCUUGCAUGGUGGUGGCGCCACCACUUGUCACCACCGCACGAGGGCAAGUCAAGGCUCAUGUCCAACCCUCACCACCUAGAUGUGAGGGUCAACCAACCCUUGUGAGGUGGUGGCCAAACCACCACACAAGGUUUUGCAAAUCCUCAAGUUAUGAGUAAGUAAUCACUUAAGUGCCUCUCGUAGUUAAAUGUGAAAACUUCACUUAAGUGCCAAAACAACGUUGUUUAGCGUCAUCUCGUGUAGUUUAUGUAGGGCACGAGGUCAUUCGCUUGUCUAUGUGAAUAAAUUUUUUAUCAAAAAAAAAAAAAACAAGCCACAUCAUUUAAAAUUUUUGGCAGAAAAAACAACGUUAGUUAUUUGGUGAUAAAUUCUUGUUGUUGACACUUAGGGUACAUUUGGUCGUCCGGAUAAUAAUCAGGAUAGGAUAGGAUAAAGUAGGAUAUUAAAUCCUUUGGAUAAUAAAGGCGGACAUAUCUAAUCUUAUCAAGUGUUUGGUGCACUUCAGGAUAAGAUUAAAAAAUAAAUAUGAUAUUCAUUUAAAUUAUAAAAUUAAAAAUAGAAAAUUCAAUUAAUUAAAGGCCAUGGAAAAACCCUAGAUCUAGGAAUCGUGGCCACCUCCGUGGCCACCAUUGAAAACGGCAAGUGAUAUCUUCUCUUUUUGUUAAGUUCUUUCUUUCCUUAAAAAAAAUCUUAUCCAAUCCAGGCUUAUCCCACCCCCUCCCCCGGAUUUAUUAUCCGGCGUUUUAUCUGGAUAUAUCCAGGUUUGUCCGAUCCGGUGGGCAUUCCCAAACAUCGGAUAGGAUAACAAAUUAUCCUAUCCAGACUCAAAUCCGGACUACCAAACGCAGCCUUAAGUCUUCAUUUCUUCUCUAAUAUUGAUACUAUCUUUUGAAAAUUUCAGUGCCUAUGUGUACUAAAUUGUGGUAUUUAAGGUGCCCUUAUGCUAAUUCUAUCGUUAAGCAUGCUAAUGGUACCAUGGCCAAUAAAGUGGCAAUGGCGGCGUGGUUGGAUCUGAGGUACCCACACCAUCCCCAUUUUUAAUAGUGAAUAAACGGAGUGCGAUCGCUACAAAAGUAACUAGGCUAUCUUAAUCAAAUUUGUAGCUUUGGCCCACUUUCUUCGUCCCAAUUGCCUAUCCCGACCAAGUUUUAUUAUUGUGACACAUUAGUUGCAAUUGAAAAUAUUUUGACAAGAUAGAUGAAUCAUUUGCAACAACAGUAUCGUCCAAACACCAGCCAGGUUUUGUCCUUGUCUUUCUCCCCUCCCCCACAAUGGUUGGCAUGGUUGAUGAGUCAAGACCACUUGAUUAGGCAAAAGGUGUGAACUUUAUCAGAUUACAGGAUUUUUAGAGUACUUUGUACCUGAACCAAAGGUUUAAACCUCACUGAUUCGCGAGACUUGUAAAGUAUUUAGUAAGCCUACAAGAUGGUCAAGACCUCUAUGGUUGGGCCCUGAAUUAUGAAAAAAUAAAAUUGUUCACAUAGGUUUAAGCUUUAACGACAUAUGGUUUUCUAACUCUGUAUUGAAGUAUUGAUCAUAAGCUUAAACCUUACAUCUAUUAGAGACUAUAUGUAGAUAAAGCCUAGUCAAAUCCAGCGUUCAAGUGAUGACGGAUUAGUACUGCAACAUCUUCUUUUUUGCAAAUUGAAACAAAAACCGACUAGCAUAAAAGAAGGCAUGUGAAUUGAAGAACGUAGAGCCAUGCAUGCAUGAUAUAAACUUGGGGCAUGAAGGACUCUGAGGCUUGGUUCUGACGCCACUUUAACAAGACCAACCCAAAUACACAAGUUAUUUGGUGUAGAGAAACCACAAAAAUAAAGCCUCAUCAAAUCCAUCAGUGAAGCAAUGUGAGAUAGUAAUUUAACUCAAGCAUCUCAAGUAUUAUGUCAAAUAAUAUGAGAGGGAGAGCUACAGAUACAUUGGAUAUACAGUGGGAUUUGCCUUUCUCUACUUAGAUUCAGUGACAACUUUUACACUUUCAAAGAAAACGGUAUCCCCAAAAAGGACAAUUUUAAAUACGUUGGAAAAGGCAGCUAAUAUACAUUAUCUAACUUGGUUCGAAACUUUUAACCAGAUAUCUCGUUGGCCUGUUGAGUUGAGUGAACUGUGUCGUUUAUUAUCCUUUGACCGGUAACAUCGAACACAAACUCUUUUGUCAGCAUUAAUCUUACAUGAUGACCAAACUUAAAGUAGCUUCGGGUAGCUCAUUUCUGCUUUGGAGUAAGGAAAAAAGCCCAAAGUAACGGAUAAAAUAGAUGAAUGUGUCGGCAUGUAAUCAAAAUACUACUGAUUGAAAGAUCUUUCCAAAACCAUUGGGCUUCGACAGAUCAGCCAAAAAGGGGGGCUCCUUUUGAGCAACCAGAAAGCACACGUAGUAAUUGCACUAAGUGCAUAUGUUUUUGUCUUUUUGAAACCAAACUAAGCGCAUAUGUUGAUCCAAAAGAAUAUAGGCGUUACUCUCAAGCCCUAGUAUUUUCCCACGCCUCUCUCUUGCUCUCACCUCCCCUCCACCACACCACUGCCGUCGCCCCACUUUUGUCGCGAUAUUUCACCAUCUUUCGGAUCUAGACUCAUGACCUCAAAUAUUGUGUCACCUGAUGCCAAUAAGUAGGGCUCACAACUUGAGAUCUGAUCUUGUGAGCCUAGACGCGCGAGAGAGAGAGGAUGCGCAAUCAUGGGGCAUAGUGGCAAGGGCGGGGGUGACAUGGGGCUUGGAUAGAAGUGGAGCAAGGCUCUGAUAUAUUGAGAUGUGGUUAAUACUCCAAUCGAUAGAUAACCACAGUUUUAAGCCUAAACAAUUAAUAUAAGGAUCCGUUUGUUUCACGGAAAAUAUCAUGUUUUCGGAAAACAUUUAUCUAGAAGUCAUUUUUCAAGAAAAUAACUCUAUUUUCCGGUGUUUGGCCGAAACCUAAACUUUGAGUGGAAAAUAUUUUCCACCAUUCAUUAGCUAUUUUAAUUAUUUGAGAAAAAUUAUCAAAAAUUGAAUUUUAUUAUUUUUAAUUGACCAAAAAAUUAGUUUUACUUUUAUAUUUUAAAAUGAAUUUUUAAUUAUUUGUAUUUUUAAAAAAUCGAAAUUUUUAAUAUUUUUAUUAAUUUUUCUUUCUUCCUUUUUCUUUUCGUUCUUCCUUCCUCCUUCUUCUACCUCCUCCUUCCUCUGUUGACUCCUUCCUUUGCUGGCAAUUCUCAAUCCACGAUGAUCGGCCAGCUUGUGACGGCGGCGGCGUUGACGGCGGCGGCAAAGACUUCCUCGCACUGAUUGGCAGCGGUCGUCACACAGGGUGCUUUUUCGUUUUCCCCCAAUCGCUGUCUUCCUCCCUCCCUUUCUUCCUCCGUCCGGCCUCGGGGUUGACUCGGGGGAUUGGCGAUCGGGUCCAUCAACGAGAUGGUCGUCUGCCAACGGGGAGUCGGUCGGUUUCCGCGUCGCGGUGGUUGAUCCUCCGUCUUUUGCGGCUGCACCUACCCCUCUCUCUCCCUCCCUCCUCUCCGCAUCGGAGCUCACGGUCAGUGGGCUCACCUAGAUCGGAAACCCAAGCUCCGCUGCCAAAUCCGACGAGCUCACGGCUCACCAGAGCCCAGCGAACCUCUGGCGAGCUCCAGCGAGGCCCAAGCCCCGCCUAGCCCGCCAGAUCUGGCGAGGCCCAAGCUCCGCCCUAGGUUGGCGAGAGCUCCGCCUCGCCCAAUUUGGCGAGGCCCGAGCUCGGCUUCGCCAGAUCGGGCUAGGCGAAGCCUCACCAACCUAGGGCGAGGCUUGAGCUAUCUCGCGGCCGCGACCGGCCAAGGCUAUGGAAGAAAGAUGAAAAGGAAAGAAAGAAAAAUAAAACAUAAAACAUAAAAAAAAAAAAAAAUGUGUUAAUGAAAAGAAAAAGAAGUUAUGGGAAGUGGAUACCAUUUUCCUCAUCUUUGAAGGUUAUUUUUCCCAAUGAUAGAAAACAUUUUCCUUGAGUAGUUUAUUUUCCAUGAAACGAACACUAAAAAAUCCGGAAAACGUUUUCUUGGAAGUCAUUUUCCGUGAAACGAACGGACCCUAAGAGACAUAAUCAUGCAAGUGCGCAACUAAUAAUUUAACUUAAGAGAUAAAUUAAUUGUUUGAGGAGACAAAAAAAACCUUCAUGCACUGAGUAAAUCUUCAAAUAAAUGUUCUGCAAGAUGUUGACUAGUGAUCAAGCAACCAUUUAAUGUAUUCAUGACUUAGAUAUGAUUUCCAAAUAUGAUUAUGCAAUGUCAAUCAAUUCUUUUUGGUUUUUCUUGUUUAACAUGAAAUGAUUUAAUUUUAAUAUUAUGUCUAUGAUCAAUGAAAAAUUAAUCCUAUUAAUUAAACUAAGUUUGAUUAAUUAUUUAUGUGUUUUCUUUUUUAAUAAAUAUAAAAACUAAAUUCCAGGACACCUAUCGUGACCUAAUUGAACUUUAUUGUAAAGAAUAGUGACCUAUUGAUGAAGUGCUAAGAAUAGUGACCUAUUGAUGCAGCGCUAACUCUUCAUUUUAAAAUCUUCUCUUUAUGAAUAAUUAAAUUAUAUGCAAUGCAUGAGAUGAGAUAUCUUUGAGUUUUCCUUUGAAAGUUAAAUUAGGAAACUAAAUAAAGUAUAUAAUAACCUAAUUUAUAUCAGGAAAUGAUUUAUACUACAUCCUAAUUUAAAUUAGGUAAUUUCCUAAUCAUUACAUGGUUCCUAAGAUAAGCAACUUUAAUUUAGGAAACUUAAUGGCAAGUAAUCUAUCCUAAAUGUUUUACAUUUUUUUUAAUUAUAAUAAAAAUAUUAUCUAAAAUAAUGACAUGCAAUAUCUAAGCCCACGUGAUUAAGUAUACACCACAUCCAAUAUAGGAUACAAGGGGUAUCCACUGCAGCAACCGGCAAGAACGGAGAAGGGCAGCAACUUCGAACGAGAGGGCUGGCGACAGUCAGUAAUCACGUUGGGACAGCGAGACUCACGAUGGGGUGGCAAGAGGCGGCGAACAUCAACGUUGGGGACAUCACAAGGGGUCUUUGGAUCGUCGAUGCUCGAUUCCUUUGCUGGGGUUAAGGAAAUGGUGGCUUAGAGGUCUCCUCAAAUUCUUAACACAUUUCAACUUAGAACAGAUGCAUAUUCGCUGCUUACAUGCAACCGCAAAUUGGACUCUCUAGCAAACCGACCAAUCUGAUUUUCUCCUUCAAAGACAUUUUAAAAUGCCUUUUCCAUCAUCUAUACCAGAUAAUUGACUAUAUAAUUUUCGUGACCGGUCGUUGUUGGGUAGUAGGCAGGAGAGGAUGAUGAGGAGGAAAGAGAGAACUUGGCCCCAAGAGUUGUCUAGGAUGAUCUGACACUGUACACCUAUGGUCAUCUGGUUAUGGAGCAGUAUAGAGUAUUGGGUCGGAUAAUAAUCUGCCCAAAUACGCAAAAUGACUAAUCUACAAAAGAGUUGACGAAAUCAACUCCAUUUCUUGUCCUACUACAACCUUGUGCGAUUGGUCGACGAUUUGCAGGGAGUGACUCAGAGUACCACCUUCGACAGCCCUCGCGGACGAACCAUGCCACUCCACGUCCUAACUAUUUUUGAUGUACCAAUUGACCUUUUGGCAUUAACCACUAACAGUGUUUUUUGGUAGGAAUCUUUUGACGUUACGGUGCCAAAAAAAUUGAAAUAAAUCGAAAUAGAUAGAUUUUCAAACGAAGCAAUGUCCAAUCCAAUCAUUUUAGCUCAAAGAGCAAAACGAACAGCAAAUGGCUAUGCUUCACUUUCCGCGUAUUGGACUCUGAUCAUUGCAAUAAUGAUUAAUAACUAACAAAUCCACUGGUUCGCUACGUAAUCCUUGUCCCCGUCCAUCUUUCGGCAUUAAUAAUUAUCAGUUCUUUAACCAAUAGAAGAGAGAGUUUGUGCAGAAAGGCUUGUCAGCCAUAUUUAGGUAGUCCUAUGAUGUGUUAUGUUAAUUAUUGAACGAUACAUGACAAUAUAUAUUCAGGCAUCUUGGCGAAAGAAAUAAAGUCGAAAUGGAUAGAAUUGCAAACGAAGCCAUGUCCUAUCCUAUGAUUUUUAACUCGAAGAACGAAAUGGAUAGGUGACUAUGACUCACUCUUCGCGUUUCAACUAGAAUGAUGGAAAAGGUAACCGUCUUAGGCUCUAUGGGCCCGUUUGGUUCGGUUUUGGGGAAAUACCCUUAGGAGAAUACAAAUAUCUUUGAAGUAAAUGAGUUUUUCGAAAUGCUACACUAUUUGAUAAAUUGUAAUCUCAAAUAGCAUUGAAAAGUAACUUUAGCAUAAAUACCGUUUGACAAAACUCACAUUUGUAAUGGGUUUUUGCUAUUUUUUUAUUUAUUUAUUUUUAGUUUGAAAACCAAAUUCGGCGGUUGGCUAACCACUGGUCAAUUGUCGAAUGGCCAGAUCUGGCCUUUGGACCACUAGAUCUAGUGGCCUGAGGUCGCAUGGACCUAGGCAGCGUCGCCUGGUUCGGGCGCGCCAGGCAACGCCGCUUGGGUCGCAAGUCGUGUCACCCCCGGCAGUGGUCACCGAGGAUGCGCGACCCCCAGGCGGUGGUGGCGGUUGUCGGAGAAGCCCGACUCUUAGGCAGGGAAGACGAAGAUGAAUGGGGAAGAAGAUGAACAUUGAUACGAAUGAACAGAGAAUUUGCAUUUCCAAAAUGUCGAAUGCUCAAAGUAGGUCUGGACCUAUAUUGGGCUUUUCAACAUUCCUAAUGUUGAUAUUUAGCUAAUGAGCUUAAAAAAAUGUUUGCCAAACGCAAAAUAUUUUUCCCAAUGGGCUUUGGGGACCCAAAGUCCCUUGGAAAAGCUAAACCAAACGGGGCCUAUAUGUAGGACAUGCCAUGUUAAAAUGACUAAAUUGCCAUCUUCACAAUAACCAAAUAACAAUUAACGUAAUUACCAAAAGGCCAUGCCAUGUCACUUAUCUAUGUGCCUCUCUCGAGCAAGUACCAUGACCAUUGGAUCAUUAGUGCAUUGAAGGAUAUCAAGAAUUUUCACUCCAAAACUAAUUGGAGGAGUUUUGGGGGAGCUCCAAACAAAAAAAGUUAAACUAUUAUUUAAAACUAUAAAUUGAUAUAUUUGUGACAAAUUUACUUAAAAUUAAUUUUUUGACCACCAUCCUUUAUUUGUUUAAAGUGUACUAGUUUAUGAUUUUUUGUUUAUUAAUCCAAUUUAACGCAAUUAAAGGAUGAUAAAUUUGUCACAUAUAUAUCAGUUUAAAAUCUUUUGUGGUAAAAAAAAAGUUUUUGAUGAAUUUAUUAUUAAUAUAUUGAUUAGAAGUUUUUUUGUGACAUUAACUCAGAAAAAAAAUCAUCAUACACACUCAUAAAAAAAAAAAAAAAAAAACAAGUUGAGGGAGAGCACGAAAGGCAGAAGAGAGUUUAUCGGCGAGAACAAAAAAGGGAAAAAGAAAAAUGUCAUCUGCACGCAAAAAGUCAUAGGCAAUAAAAAAAAGCCCCCAAAAAAGGCAAAUCUUGGUCUUGGUCGUCUUCAUCGGAGCUCGGUCAGAGAUUGCCUGUAGAUCCCGAUUCCGAUCCAGCGUUGAGGAUAUUAGUCGCUCUUCGUCGUCAUCUGUCACCGUGGAGAGCCACGAAGUGGCUAGAUUUCACUCGAAGCAUCGUUCGCUUGCCCCGAUUCCGCUUGUAUAAAUUCAUGAAAAGCUUCAAUCGGAGACUCGAGCUCUUGUAGCACUUUAGAUAUCCGUGAUGAACCAGGUAAAUUCCCCUCUAUCCUGCUUCGAUCGUGAGUAUUGAUUAUCGAACAUCACUUAAUCACUUCGCUUGAGCCAGGCCAUGAAUUUUCUGUAAAAAUAAAUAAAUAAAAUAAAUAAAUGACCAGUAGCGUAGAUAAGGUCCUCUUCAAAUAACUGUAAAUGCAUUAUCCUCUGCAAUUAUACUUUAGAUGCGUUAAUCUAUUCUAUAUAUUUGGUCAGAAAAGAGGGCAUUAUGAAGCAUUUAUGAGUAUCAUUGGUUGUGGAUCUAGCAUCCACUAAGCUUUGGAAAAAUUACCAAAAAUCCUAAACUCAUUACACUUGUAGUAAUUCAAUCCUAAACAUUUUCCAUUUGUGUUAAUUCAGUCUAUCUAACCAAUUUUGAUUGGUCAGCACUGAUGUGGAUAUCGGCCGUCCGGCCAAUGAUGACGUUGAUAAUUUUUUAUCUCUCUCUCUCUCUCUCUCUCUCUCUCUCUCUUUUUCCCUUCUUCUUCUUCUUUGUUUCUUUGGCCGGUCACCGUGAGUCAAGGGUGAGGGCCAUUGAGGUUAGCCUUGUUGGCCAAUGAUGAGGCCCGCACUCACCAUGGCCAAGCGAGGCCCUGCCAAAAUUUGGCGAGGCUUGGCCUCACUUUACCAUUGGGAGGUCAAGCCUUGACCUCGCCAGCCAUGGGGAGGCUUGACCUCACUAGUGGCCUGGGGGCAAGCCCCACCAUGGUUGGGGGGAGGUUGAGCCUCGCUAUGGCUAGGUGAGGCCAACUUGGCCAUGGCUGGGCGAGGCUUGCCCUCGCCUCUGGCUGGGUGAGGCUCGCCCUUGCCUUUGACAACUAGCCAAAGGAAGAAAGAAAAAAUAAAAAGAGAAAGAAAAUAAAACACUAAUAAAAAAUUCGAAAAAAAAUUAUUAAAAAAUUAUGCUUGUCACUUUGGCCGCCGUCUACGUCAGCAUCGAUUGGUCAAAAUUGACCAAAUAGACUGAACUAACACAAAUACAAAAUGUUUAAGGCCGAAUUAGGCAAUAAAAAAGUUUAAGAAUGAAUUGACAUAAUGGCAAUAUGUUUAGAACUUUUUUUGGUAAUUCUCCCACUAAGCAUUACUAUCACUCAUACUUUAAGACACUUUCAAAUUGGCAACAUAUUAAGUGAAAAAUGGAGUUGAAUGAACACUUAUUUGUAGUUUUCCACCUAAAGCAAGAUUUUUGGACAAAUGCAAUCAAAAUCCUAAAAUAUACAAAGAAAUGGCAAUUUAAUCCUAAAAAUUUUUAAGGGAAAAAGUCACCAAAAGCCUCAAACUAUAUCCACUAAGACUCAUUUAUCAUAGACUUUUUUUCUAUGACACCAAAUAUUAAAAACUUGUAUCUGCAUGACACAUUUACCCUCCGUUAAAGUUACAUCAAUGAGCACUGUUACAAAUUUGCUUACAUAAUCAUUAGAAAAGCAAACGAUGUUGACGUGACACUCAUAUAAAAAACGACGUUGUUUUGACUAAAAAAUCAUUUGACAGAAUCUUGACGGAGGGUAAAUAUUCUACAGAGGUAUAAGUUUGGUUUAUGGUAAAUAUGUUAGGUGGGUAUAAUUUGAGACUUUUAAUGCCACAAAAAGAAAAUUCGGGAUAAAUAUGUUAUAGUGAGCAUAGUGUAAGUUUUUCAGUUUUUUUUCCCUAAUUUUUAAUUUGUGUAAUGAAAUAGUAAAACUUGGCUGAAGAGUGUAGUCAAGUGACAAAAACCGCUAAAGUGGCAUUUGUCAACGUUUUUCGAGAACAUGAAUAGGGGUGAGCUAUGGUUAUAUCAAAUAUGAAUCAGCACAUGUAUUAUUGUUCUAUGGACCACAUGACGAUACUAUGAAGUCCAUGGGAUGGCAAAGUCACCAUGCUUUUCGCAAUGCCACGAGACCUCACAAAAUUGCGUGUCGGUUAAAUAAAGAAUAAGCACAACCAGAACAUUAGCAUAGAUUAGUCCCAAAUGAGAAAAAAGUCGAACAGAGAUGACCCAAUAGUAUAAAGGUCCUUUUUCAUUUUACUGUUAACACAUUAUCUUCUGCCCUUGCACUUUAGAUGUGUCAGUCUUCUCCACUAAGCAGGGGAGGAGGAAAACGGAACAAUGAUUAAAGAUUCACUCUUCGCGUAUCUACUUUAAUCGUUUGAAAACUAAAAAGGUACCCAUCCUUAGGACUAUAUAUAGGAUGUCCUAACCCUAAUUUUCCACUGAACGCAAGAUCCUUUCUUUAUCCUUGAAAGAAACAAAGAUGGCGAUGAUUAUGUUCACAGUCUGUCUAUGCCUAGUGCUGAUAUCGAUUUUGCUUCCGAGCUUCCGUGCACAAGUUCCCUACGUCGUGAUCCAAGGGAAGAUAAGUCAUCACGAGCUCACGAGAGCUGGUCCCGGAGUUCCUGAUCAGCAGCAUCCCUUCGUCGUCUACGGUUGGUUUUCUACAAGUUCCAACUUUUACCAUGUCUUUUUCCGAUGUAACGCCCUAGUAGGGUAUUACAAUGUCGAGCUGUCCGCGGAGCUUGUGAGCAUGGCAAUGUAGCUUGUGGUCAUAAGCGGACUAUGUUGGCAAUUUUUUGUUUUUUUUUGCUUUUUUUUUGUCACUUCUUUGUCUAUGGGCUGCUCAACCUUGACAUUCUGUAUAGGUGGCCCUCUUUCAUUUGUUGUUGAUUUUAUUUGAGGUUUUUUUUUUCUCUUUUUUUUUCUUCUCUGUUGAUCUAAAUCUGAGAGUUUUAUGCUCCCAGUCUAGUUCUAGAUUUGAGAGUUUGAACUCUCCUAAUCUACUUUUAAAAUUGAAAGUUCUACUCUCCCAAUUUAGAUUUGAGAGUUUAAUAACGUUUCCGGGGAUUCGAUGUCCCCCUGCUUUAUCUAUGUACAAUCAUAUGCCUUUAAUUUCAAUGAUUAUUGUAUGAGUUUUGGCAUCUUGCUGAAUUAUGAAGACUUGUUCUUUCAAAAGUUAAAUAUGCGUUUAUUUAACUUAUUUUGGCUGUCUCCAUAUAAUGAUGGUGUAGAGGAAAUCGAAUAGAGAUGUGCACGGCCAAUUGGGAAUGUUGUAAUUGUUCAAGAAGGAAUCCUCAGCGUGUGUUCAUCGCUAAUGAUGAUAUGAGAUUCAAUGAUCAGCCGCCAAUUAUUUUGCUUAACAAAUCCGUUCUUAUAGAAAGAGUGUGUGCUUGAUCCUGCUAGUGCUCUAUUAAUCCUCAUCGUUUUAUGGAUUUGGUUUGUUUUGAUGUAAUGUAAGUUUUGCUCUAUAUCAAUUUGUUUUGCCAUGAAAGUCUAAGUACUUCUCAUGUGUCUUUUUGAGUAAUUAACAUUAUUUUUUCGACCAAAAAAAUAACAAUUUCUGUCAUUACAAAAAAGAUUAUUGCCAUCUCAAGCAAGUACCGUGACCAUUGGAUCAUCAUCACAUUGAAGGAUGUAGAUUGACUGCAUAAAAGGAAUAUCUAGAAUUUUCACCCCAAGACCUAUAGGAGUAGUUUUGGGGGAGAUUAAAAAAAAAAGGAGCUAAUACUGCAAAAAAUCCCAAACAGGUUCACUUGCAAUAGGUUCACCUCCAAACAAAUUUUUUGACUAUAAAAAUCCAUAAGCUAGUACACUUGUGAUAAAUUUACUCAAUGUUAAUUUUUAUUAAAUUGCUAAGUUGGAUGACACAUGACAGUUGACGGAUGUAUCAGUCUGGGGUUUUACCCUCCGUUUGUCAUAAGUUAAUUGGUUUGCGGUUUUUUUAUGAUAUUAAUAUAAUUUAAAAGAAAUUAAUGGAGAUUAAAUUUAUCAAGUGUACUAGUUUGAGAUUUUUUAUGUUCAAAAAAUUAAUUUGAGAUUAAUUUAUCGCAACUAUAUCAAUUUAAGGUUUUUCACAGUGUUAAUACAAAAAAUAAUUAUAAAAAAGAAGUUCGGCCGUGCGCACGCAAAAAACAAGGUGAAGGGAGGGCACGGAAGGAAGAAGAUAGUUUUUUUAUAGGGAAAAUCUGGAGGAGAAAUCAAUAAAAAAAAUAAAAAAAAAAAGACAAUAUCCAUCCCUAAGAAAGAUCUCGGUCUUCGUCCUCUUCAUCGAGAUGAGAUUACUUGUAGCCCCCGAUUCCGAUCACCUUUGAGGGUACGAGUCGAUGUUCGUCCUCCUCUGUCGCCAUCGAGAGCUGCGAAGUGGCUAGAUCUUAGUCGAAGAGUCCUUCGCUUGUCCCGACUCCCUCGUUGUCCGUUCGUCGAAGCUUCAAUCGUGGGCUCGAGAGCUUGUUGUAAUUUCCGACUCUCCACUUCAUCCUGUUUCGAUUGUGAUUGGGAACUGAGACUCGACGAUCCAUGUGGAAGCAUGGAUUGGACUUGAAUGAAUUGGUUUUUAUUGAUUUCAAACAUCGCUUCUUAGUUUGACUUGAGUCAGGCCAUGAAUUUUUGCGGUAGAAAAAAGUUAGAAUCUACUCUUCAAAUCGUUAAUCAUAAACCUGUUUGAUGAAAUGUUUUCAAGGCACGGCUGAAAGAUGAUCCACGAUUUCUUUCAGAUCGGAAAACAUGUCGACAUAAAUUGCUUGCCUGCAAUUGAUUUGUUAAGAAUUGGAUACGAUUCCACUCAAAUUUCGUUGUAUACGAAUCUAAAUAUAGAUAUUUUAUUAUUAUUUUUUGACAUUUUCGUUCCAUGUUUUGUAUAGGGGUAAGUAAAAGGAACUGUUUGGAUCAAGUCAGCCAGUUCUGGGUUGUUUUCAAAGGCAUCGGUUCGGUUUUUUAUUUUAAUAAUUUUCGAUUUAGUUCUCGGUUUCAUGUGUGGAAUGGUUCACUUGGACCAUCUAGACUGAUUCUCUUUUUUUCUUUUGAUUUAUUACAAAUUUGUAAAAACUAAUAAGUCCUAAUUUUAUAUUCUGUUGAAAUAGCUUCUGAUCAUCAAUUUAGAAUAUGGUCCCAAAAACUAAAAGCUAUCUGAUCAUCAAUUUAGAAUAUGGUCCCAAAAACUAAAAGCUGUCGAUGAUAUCAAAUUCACUUGACUGCCUAGUGAGGAUUUGCUUGUUGUAGAAGGAGAAGGUGCGCGCUCACAUCACAUCACAUCAAGUGCUUUCUUUUGAUGUCCAAAGGCAAGAAAAGAAAGGGGUAGGAGUCUUGCGUCAGCAAUAACUAUAAAAACAAUGAGUCAGGAAAAAUUGACAUGUGCAUAUAUAGAGAGAGAGAGAGAGAGAGAGAGUUAUAAGGGGUGUUCCCAUUUUAUGAGAAAAAUAAUUGGAAAUUUAUGCUUGGAAGGUAUAACGGGAGAAUAUAGCAACAAACCAAAGAAGAAGAAAAAGAAGAAAAAACAGAACAUGCACCAAGUUCAUUGGAUGAACUUGGUGGUCAAGAGAUAUUUAUGUCGGUUCAUUUCUCUAGUCCAUGUUCUAAAUAGCUUUAUCAUCUUUACGACCCUCUGAUACAUCUGGGAGGACCGAAACCACUCCAUCUUUAGGAGACAACCUUGAACCCAUAACAAAUAGUGUACAAAGCCAUGGCUUUGCGUGAAAAUUUUGCUACUUGGAACGGGAAAUCGAAAGGAAAGGCAAGAUGCAAAGACCCACCUCAAAAAUGGCGACCUCCGAACCUUGGAACUUUGAAGAUAAGCAUUGAUGCCUCUUUUGUGGGUAACAUUGAAGCUUCCUUUGCAGCCACCAUGAACAGAGGAGCAGUUGCUUGCGUUGGUUGAGAUUCUUUCGGCAGAUUGAUCAACUGCUUCUCCAAACCGGUAGAAGCUAAUUUGGCAAAACAAUCAGAAGCCAUGGCACUCAUUGAAACCCUGGUCUUCCUUACGCCAAGUCAAACUUAAGGAUGCACUGGAAAUUGACUGUAGCGUACUUGUGAGAAGUGUUCUCAAUUCCGACUUGCUGAAUUGGGAAGCACAGUCAUUGGUGGACUGGGCCAAGACUGUGUUGGAGAAAUUUUCAGGCCUUACUUUUGCCCAUUGUAGGAGAGAACAAAUAAAAUAGUAGAUUGGUGAAGCCAAAGCCCAAUGGAUGAAUAGUCUACCUAGUAUGCCAAUUCCUCGCUUGUUGUCACACCCUGAACCUCUACGACUGCAUGACAAUCCACGCUUAUCGAACCUUUACUUAUUCUUUGGUCAUUCGAUUGCGACAUCCUAGGAGGCGUCGCCGGCCCAAAUCAUAAUAAUAUUAAAAUGCAUAAGCGGAAACGUAAGCAAAUCUCCAAUCAUCGAACAAUAUGGAUAGUUAAAAACAUAUUUAUAUAUAUAGAAGAGUGUUACUAGUCAACGUCUCAUAUAACAUGAGUUCAAGGGUCAAUCAACUAGAUUCUUCACCUCCAACACGCCUAACCACUUCACCAUGACCUCCUUCAAAAGAGGCCCGGGGGUAUAUUUAUGCCUCUAAUACUACGAGGGUGGUUCAAAAAGUGCUAACUCCCUAUGUCUACCUAAGCCCCAAUGGCCUCUGAGGUCUAGGCCCAUGCGGUGAUCGGUGCGGGGUCAAUCUUGGGGUUGGACACCUCCCCAUUGGGAACAUCCCCAUCCUUAGCCUCCCAGCUAAUGCCACCCCUAGAUUCUCUAGCACCCGGUGGACCAUCGAAGCCGUGGAUGGGAUUAUUGCUCUUGCCCCCUACCCAAAAGUAGAAGGUCACGAAUCAAUGUGGCACAAGAUUAGGCAAACCCUCAUUCACCCAAAUGAUCAUGACAUAUUGCAUAUAGAGUGCAUCCGCCGCUCCCACUAUUGGGUACUCCACCACCUCUUAACUAUGUUAACAAGGAGGCCAAAAUAAAUCCGAUGGAAUGGUUCAGCCAUUCUUAGGUCCUGAAAACAUUUCAACAAACAAAUAUGAUAUAAACUCAAUGAAUUAACUUCCUAGACCUCAUGUAGAGAAUGUUCACCUCAAAAGUGCCCUAAAUAUGCAAAUAUCUACCGAUGACGAAACAUGGCAACACAUUUCUCGCUUUACUCUCAUCAAUCUUGUAGCAACUUGUCUACCAUACAAGGCCAUCAAAGUAGAUCCAUAGGGAAUUUCAUAACAUAGACUUCAUGUACUUGAGCCAAACAUACGAAUACGCAUUAUGAUCUAAGUCAUGCGCUAAUGCCAUGCAACAAUCCGAACCUUAUCAUAUACAAAUCUCAUAUACUUUCCAUACACAUUUGUCCAAAUUAUUACGGCCACUCAAGACCCAAGACUAACCCGAAGCUUCACAAAUCAUCCGGUAUAACUAGGCAUCGUCUCGCCCCAUUGAGCACAACAUCUUGUUGACUUGGGGGCAUCCGAACUUAAUUUAGCAUCGUCUUGCGUAAAACGCCUUAGGAUAGGUUCACACCCCGCGUAAAACGCAUCAGGAUCUUAGGUGAUCAUAUGGGCAUACCAUCACAUACUCCAUUUCUUAUCCUUCUCAUUUAACCCAUGUGAUGCUUAUGCGAUAUUAUACUUCUUUUGUUAAAUGCCAUCAUUCCAUAUAUGUUCACCACUUAUAUCACACACAUAUGCACCAUUCACUUCCCAAACUCAUGACACAUAAUUCACAUAUCAUGUUUAACCUAAAAUUCACAUAGCACAUAUUCCAUUUAUUAUUUUUAACCAUUAAUCCACAUGGCACAUUAUUCAAAUAACAUAAUUAACCAUUAAAACACAUGGUACAUCAUUCAAUUGACAUGGAUAACCACUAAACCACAUGUCACAUAACCCAAAUAACANNNNNNNNNNNNNNNNNNNNNNNNNNNNNNNNNNNNNNNNNNNNNNNNNNNNNNNNNNNNNNNNNNNNNNNNNNNNNNNNNNNNNNNNNNNNNNNNNNNNAUGAGGGAGAGAGAGGGUGCCGGCGUAAGGGGGAGAAAGGGAAGAGAGAGAGUGGUCUGUCCCUUAUCAAUGCCCCAUCACUUCCCUUGUCACUUGUCUACCAAGGUUGCCCUAUUUAGAAGCAAAAUCUAGCAUUUAAUGGAAGGAUUUGCACUCAAGUACAUAGGUUGAGACUAGGCUAGGUUAGAUAGUCUUUCUUCCUCCUCUUCGCCACCCAAUUCAUGGCCGCCCCUUCACCUGCCCUAUUCCAUUUUUACCCUUUUGUCAUUAGUUUGGUGGGAGGGCAUUUUGAUCCUUUCACCAAGAUCUCACACUAUUCAUGCACUAUUCACAUCCUUUUGUACAUUUAAUGUCAAGAUUGUGCCAUGAUGGUCCUAAAGGCUUGGGAAGCCUAUGGACUACCCUUUGGGCCACCCACCUCAUGGGCUUGGGCCAUUGGGCCGCCAAUUAAGGGUGUGGGCCCAAUUGGGCCUUGCUCCGCGAGCUUGGGCUCGUUGGGCUGCCCAACAUGGGCUUGGGCCCACUUGGGUCCUUGCUCAUGACCCACUUCCACUUCUCUGAACUCGUAUGCCAUUGCCAAUGAAAAACUGAGUCUUUUGCCCUUAAAUGGCCUUUCUCGAUGUCCUCAUGGCCCAUCGAUCCUCAAGAUACUUUUGUCCAAUGAUCCCUUGCCAGAAUAAUUCUGUUAUGAAAAAUCGGGUUGAAACGAGGAUGUCACACCUGCUCUUUUUGACUUUUUAUGUUUUGAUGCUAUUGAUGUGUAUUCAACGAACAUGGUCAAGUAAUUGAUAUAAAUCAUUUUUCGACAAAAAAAAAUGAAUUGUUAAGAAUUUAGAUACGAUUCCACUCAAAUUUUGAUGUAUUCGAAUUUUGAAAGUCAUUUUUUUUUUGGUGUUUUCAUUCCAUGUUUUGCAUGUGGUUGAGCAAAAGAAAAUGCCCAGAUUGAAUCAACCGGUUUUGGGCCGCUCGAAGGCACCGGUUUCAUGUGUGAAACUAUCUAAAUAAUCUUCAAAAAAAAAAAAUAAACAAUUCUUACAAAUAUGCAAAAAUUAAUAAGCCCUAAUUUAUGUUCUGUUACUUUUUUUUUGGUCGAAAGAAACUAUAUAUUAGAUCAAACGGAAGUACAACCAGAUGCUAAAGCUUCAGAAGAUAUGAUAUCCUGGAAAAUAAACGGAGGGAAAAGAAGCUAGUUGCAAACUGGGCAGUGAUCCAGGUGGGCUUUAGCAGCCUAGUCAGCUGCUAGGUUUGCUUCUCGGCGAACAUGGUGGAGAGAGAGAUUAGGGCAGCGAGAAUAUACUUCACGAAGAAUCGUAAAAAGAUGGCGCUUCGUCCAUGGCGGCUGCUGCUGCUGCUAAACGAUCUCCACCAACAACAGACAGUCAGACUCAAUCACGAUGCGUUCAAGAUGAAGCCCCUGCUGGAUAAGAUGUUGGAUAGCCGAUAUGAGAGCGUUGAUUUCAGCUUGGAAGGCCGAGAGGGCUGGAACAAUUUUGGUGAUCACAUUGGUAAGAACUCCUUUGCCAUCUCUGUAGAUACACGCAAUUGAUUCAUCCUCCGACCCUGUUCGAAAAGCCCCAUCAACAUUACAUUUAAGACAGCCUUUUUCAGGCGGUUUCCAUCUCCGAUCUGAACUAACCAGUUUGUUGUUAAUCCGCUGUACAGAGGGGUGUAAAAGCAUGAUGAUUUGGCUGUGGUCUAGGGUGUUGUCCACGGCUUGGAGAGGAUCCAGGUGGUGCUGCUGAAAGACUGCGUUGUUUCUUUGUCUCUAGAUCUCCCACAGCAAACUGGUGAUCACCUUGAAAUCAGGGGAUGCCUUUGGAAGGGUAGCUCGGGUUGCAAUCCAGGCAUCAAAACGUCGAACCGAGGUAGGUGAAAUCGAAACCCUCACUUCUUCAUUAUUCCAGAUGUUGUGUGUCCAAGGGCAGAAGAAGAAAAGAUGUUCAAUCGUUUCUAGAAUUUUGAGGUUACAAAGUGUACAGUAGGGGUUAGGGGAAAUAUGGCGUUGAUAGAGAUUAGCUUUUGUAGCAAUGGCAUUUUUACAGGCUAACCACAUAAACACCCGAAUCUUAAGGUCAGUUGCAUAUGCCAGAUUUUCCUCCAUAAUUGAGUAGAGUUCUGAUAAGAGGAUGAAGCGACAUUAAUUGGGGUAUUUUGGGUCGAAGAGAUAUAAUGGUAACAGCUUUUCACAGUGUAGGUACCUGAGGAAGUAUCAGUCCACACUAAUUGGUCAUGUAGGAGCGAAGGGUUGAGAGGUGUAUUCAAGAUAGCUUCAGUGACCUGGGCAUCAAAGAAGGUGGUAAUAAGAGAGGUCUUCCAUUCUGUUUUUGAUAAGUCUAUUAGAUCAACAACUACAUCAGGUUCACCCUCCUCUGCUAAUCCUCCUAUUUAACCAAUUGGUAGCCAUAUAUCUUCUCUUAUUCGAAUCUAUGAUCCAUCCCCAACUAACCAACGAAGUUUACAAGUAAUAGUAUCUCGACCCUUUAAUAUACUCUGCCACCCCCAUGAAGGUCAAUAGCCUGAUUGGGCAUUUUGGAAAGAGGAAUACCUAACAUAUAAUCCCUUGAAAAGCUAACUCCAGAUAGCAUAGGUUGUUGGAAAAGACACCAAGCUUGCUUACCAAGCAUUGCUUUAUUGAAGUUAAUCAAAUCUCUGAAUCCCAUCCCCCCUGAUUCUUUUGACUGCUUCAAUUCUGACCAGUUUUGCCAAUGAAUUCUUGAAUGACUGUUGUGUUUGCUCCACCAGAAUGCUGAUAUCUUCCUCUCUAUUAAUCUGCAAAUCGACAAGGGAAUCUUAAAGAUGGACACGGCAUACUGAGGUAAGGCCUGAAUUACUGAUUUCAGAAGUAUCUCCUUGCCACUUUUUGAUAAGAAUUUUUCCUUCCAACCAGCUAAUUUAGCAUUUACUCUUGCCAGGAUCCAGGAGAACAUCUCACGUUUGGAACGACCCUAAUCAGAGGGGAUGCCCAGGUACUUACCAUAUUUGCUGACCAUAGGUAUUCUCAGUUCAUUUGCUAAAUUGAUUUGUAAGGUGAUAGGGCAGUGUUUGCUGAAAAAUAAACUAGAUUUGUUCCAAUUAAUGAGUUGACCCGUAGCUAGGCAAUAUUGGUUUAGGAUAUUAACAAGAUUUUGGCAUUCAGAGACCUUGGCUUUUAGGAAAAAUAUGGGGUUGUCAGCAAAGAACAAGUGGGAUAACUUAGGAUAGGCUCUAUUGAAUUGAAUCCCCUGUAGGUGGCCCAUAUCCAUAGCUUGCGUGAUAGUAGUUGACAGAGCAUUAACAAGUAGAAUGAAAAUAUAUGGGGAGAGGGGGUCACCUUGGCGAAGCCCUCUAGUAGGUUGAAAGUAAGGGAGCAGUUCCCCAUUAAAGCGAAUACUAAAGGAAGCCAUAGUAAUGCAAGCCAUAACCAUAGUAACCUAACUGUUAUUAAAGCCCAAAUUCUGCAAAUAGGCUUCCAGGAAAUCCCAUUCUACCCUAUCGUAAGCCUUCUGCAUAUCUGUUUUUAAAAUAAGAUUGAAUCUUUUCUUGCAUGUUCUCACUUUAAACUGAUGAAGCACUUCUUGCACCACCAUAAUAUUGUCUUGUAUUUGCCUGUCACUGACAAAUGCUACCUUUUCUUUUGAUAUCAAACUAGAUAGCCAAGGCUUAAGUCUGUUGGCCAUAACUUUCGAAAUAAUCUUGUAAGCGAAAUUACAAAGACUGAUGGGAUGGUACUGGUCAAUGCUUUCUAGAUGGUGAACNNNNNNNNNNNNNNNNNNNNNNNNNNNNNNNNNNNNNNNNNNNNNNNNNNNNNNNNNNNNNNNNNNNNNNNNNNNNNNNNNNNNNNNNNNNNNNNNNNNNNNNNNNNNNNNNNNNNNNNNNNNNNNNNNNNNNNNNNNNNNNNNNNNNNNNNNNNNNNNNNNNNNNNNNNNNNNNNNNNNNNNNNNNNNNNNNNNNNNNNNNNNNNNNNNNNNNNNNNNNNNNNNNNNNNNNNNNNNNNNNNNNNNNNNNNNNNNNNNNNNNNNNNNNNNNNNNNNNNNNNNNNNNNNNNNNNNNNNNNNNNNNNNNNNNNNNNNNNNNNNNNNNNNNNNNNNNNNNNNNNNNNNNNNNNNNNNNNNNNNNNNNNNNNNNNNNNNNNNNNNNNNNNNNNNNNNNNNNNNNNNNNNNNNNNNNNNNNNNNNNNNNNNNNNNNNNNNNNNNNNNNNNNNNNNNNNNNNNNNNNNNNNNNNNNNNNNNNNNNNNNNNNNNNNNNNNNNNNNNNNNNNNNNNNNNNNNNNNNNNNNNNNNNNNNNNNNNNNNNNNNNNNNNNNNNNNNNNNNNNNNNNNNNNNNNNNNNNNNNNNNNNNNNNNNNNNNNNNNNNNNNNNNNNNNNNNNNNNNNNNNNNNNNNNNNNNNNNNNNNNNNNNNNNNNNNNNNNNNNNNNNNNNNNNNNNNNNNNNNNNNNNNNNNNNNNNNNNNNNNNNNNNNNNNNNNNNNNNNNNNNNNNNNNNNNNNNNNNNNNNNNNNNNNNNNNNNNNNNNNNNNNNNNNNNNNNNNNNNNNNNNNNNNNNNNNNNNNNNNNNNNNNNNNNNNNNNNNNNNNNNNNNNNNNNNNNNNNNNNNNNNNNNNNNNNNNNNNNNNNNNNNNNNNNNNNNNNNNNNNNNNNNNNNNNNNNNNNNNNNNNNNNNNNNNNNNNNNNNNNACCUGUUGUGAAAAAAUCUUGAACUGUUUUAAUGAUAGUUGUUUUGAUGAUAUUCCAGUAUUGUUGAUAGAAGAGAUUGUUAGGGCCAUUAGGCCCAGGAGCCUUAGAAGCACCCAACUGGGAAGUAGCCUGGUAAAUCUCCUCCUCUGUUACCCCACUCAUCAAUUGUUGAUUCAUUUUAGGUGUUACCAUAGCUAGACAUUCCUCUAAAAAUGAGUGAAACUCCCGGUAUCCCACAGACUGAUAUAAAUGAGAAAAGAAGCCCAUUGUCGUAGCUUGAGCUGUUCUAGCUCCCUGAUCCAAUUAUGGUUAGCAUCUUUAAGCAUAGCAAUUCUAUUUCGUUGUCUCCUUUGCAUACUACAGGCAUGAAUUUUUUUUUGAAUUUUUAUCUCCCCAUUUCAACCAGUGAAUAUGAGAGCGCAUAGCCCAGAACUGCUCCUCUUGAUUCCACAGUUUCUGAAUUUCAAUUCUAAUAGCAGUGGCUUGCUCCUUAUCUCAAGUCUGAUAGAAUUUCAUGUUGAUAAUUGUCUGUAGUUGAUGUUGCAAUUGGGAGAUUCGCUGAUGGCCAUUACUAAACCGUGCCUUGCUCUAGCUAGCUAAUUGAGCAGAAACUGCCUGCAAUUUAGAGACCAAAGAGGUAUUCCUUCUCUCCCAUGCCUUUUGAAUUACCUUUUGACAUUCUUGAUCUUGAUUCCAGAAAGCUUCAUAAUGAAAAGUCUUUGCUCGCUUGACAGAUGGAGAGCGAGUGUCCAGCAGUAUAGGACAAUGAUUCGAACCUAUAGGUGGUAGGGCAAACACUUCUGCAGAAGGGUAUGAUAGCAUCCAAUUUGUGGAGCAGAAAACACGAUCUAACUUAUCCUUCACCAGAGCAUCCCCUGCUCGAUUAUUAGACCAGGUAAAUUCACACCCUUUACUGUGCAGUUCAAGUAAAGCACAAUCAUUGAUUAAAUUCCUAAAUGAUGUCAUUCGCGAGGUAAUGGCUAGUCUUUUUCCCAUUUUCUCCCAGGGGGAAAGGAAAUCAUUGAAGUCACCUACACACAGCCAAGGUAAAUGAUUUGCAGCAGAGAUUACCCUAAUUGUAUUCCAAAAUUCAUGGCGUGUCUGAUAAGUUGAAGGGGCGUGUAGGCAUGUUAAAUGCAUUGAAGCAGUUGUCAAAGGAUCAAGGACUAUGAGAUCUACAAAGUGAUCAUCCGAUUGUACAAUAGUAACAUCAAACAGGUCAGUCCAGAACAUAACAAGUCCAUCCGAGAAGCCAACCGGAUCCCUCAAGAAGGAGUGAGGGAAGUGAAAUCUUCGUUGUAAGCUUGUCACAACUUUCUCUACAUUCUUUGUUUCCAUUAAAAAAAUGAUGUCAGGCUUUUCAGAGGCUAACAACGCCUUCUGUGCUUGAAUUGUCAGGGGAUUGCCCAACCCCUGACAAUUCCGACUCAGGAGUUUCAUUUGGAAAGUGGUGGCUAUUGAGGGCCAGCCGCCAAAGCCCAAAGAGCAGGAUUGUCUGCCACAAUCACAGGAGUGUCCAUAAGGUGGGUUUCAUCCAAGUCUGCAGAGUAAGUAAGUCGAGUGUCAUAUGGUGAGUAUCUUUUGGUUUCUUACUUGAUCCUCCAUUUGGCAUUGGUCUAGGGAUUUUUGGUUUCUUCUGUUGAGGAAUGUCUGAUGAAGGUAGCUGAAUGCUCUUCAACUUUCCCUUUGAAGGUACCAAAUCAGUAGUUAUCGCUGUUGGGUUGACAGAGUUCAAAUGCGAGGAAGUCCCUGGUGGUAGAACAUGGGUCAAAACAGGGGCCUUUGAUGCAAGAAUGGGAGGGAGAGCUAGGAUAAUGGGCUGCAUAGCUGGAGGGGUUUCAAGUACUGUCUCUUCCAUCUGCUUUAUAGGUGCUGUAGGAUGGUAAAAAUCAUCCCAAUAAGGGCUAAACUGUUUAACCUCUGCUCUUAGCCACGGGCCAUAGACCAUCGUCUCGCGGCCUUCAAAUUGUGUUUCCUCAUAAGGGUAAUCUUUACAUGAAGCAGCAUAAUGACCAAGCUUUCCACAAGAAUAAUAGUAGUGGGAUAGCCGCUCAUAAUGAAAAUCUAGCCAUAGGGGUUUUCCUUCAAGUCUUAUAAGCUUUCCUGACCUUAAAGGUGCUUUCAGAUCUAAUUCUAUUCGGACUCUCCCAGAUGUAUCAGGUUUCACUUCCAGAACUCGUCCCACCUGUUACAUAGCUCUUCGUAGAAGUGGUGGAGUGGUCCACUCCAACGGUAAGCUUAUCACAUGCACCCAUAAUGCGCACUUAGAAAAGUCGUAACAGUGUAAAGGAGUAUUAGGUUGCCAUGGACACAGAUGGACCAAAUGACCUAAGAAUAACCAAGGGCUAGCCUCUAUUAUGCGCCGUUUUUCCAUUUCAGAUCGAAAUUUAAUGAGGUACAGCCCGCCAUCACUAGGAGAAAUCUCUACUUGAUCAACAUGCCAUGCUUUCUUCAUGGCGACUUGAAAAGCAGAUAAAUUGAUAGUAGGAUUUGUGAAGAUGUUACUAACCAGUAUAAGGCGAUAGUCCUUCAGUUUUUCCGAGGUAGGUAUGUCAUCCCAAACCUCCAACUCCUGUUCUGAACACAGACGUCCCAGGCAAUGACACAAUGAAGCAAUUCACGAGGUAUUGUCGCUUUCAUCCGUAGCCAAAAAGUAGCAGGAAUUCACUGAUAUGGAUUAAUUGACAGGAAAAUAGUACAGAAAGCAAACUCUUGGGGGUUGCAUGUCCCAGAUCACAUACAUGCAACUCUGAAAUUGCGAAAUCAAUUGAAAUUGAGAAGACCAACAGCAAACAGAUGGGGGUGAGAAGAGGAGAAAGAUUGCGAUGACUGCAGGGGAUGAUAGAAACUUCGCAUGCAAGGCAAUCCACAAAGACAAGGAUCAGCUAUGGUGGAAUUUGAAGUAAGUAGAGGUGGUUCAAACAGAAUGUGAAGUGUAGAAGGAUAACGGAGAAGAUGGAAGACAUUGGGGAAGACUCGAGCAUGACACGAGGAGAAACUCUACCAUAAACGAGAGAAUUUCAAAUAACUUUUUAGGUUGGUCACUCGUUCUGUUACUUUAUGUUCUAUUAAAAUAGCUUCUUAUCAUUGAUUUAGAAUAUGUUCCCAAAAAUUAAAAGCUAAUAUCAAAUUCACUUCACUGCCUUGUGAUGAAUUUGUCGUGUGCUGGAAGGAGAUGGUGCAUGCUCACAUCCCAUAAGCUUUCCAAGUAUUUCUUUUUGGCGUUCAAAGGCAGGGAAGAAAAAGGACAGGCGUCCUGCAACAACAACAACUAUAAAACAAUGCGUCAAGACAAAUUGAUCUACAUAUAGAGAGAGUUAAAGAGGUGUGCCCAUUUUACGAGAAAAAAAUAAUUGGAAGUUCAUGCUUGGAAGGUAUAACAAGAGAAUAUAACGAUUAAAAAGAAAUAAGAAAAGAAAAUAGAACAUGUGUCAGUUCCAUUGGCCCGUCUAAGAAUCGGAUCAGAUCAAUAAAAAAAAGAAGAAAAUAUAAGAACAUGCAUCAAUUCCAUAUCGGACUAAUAAAAAAAAGAAGAACAAACAAUUAAACAUGCAUUGGUUCUAUUGGCCCACUCGGGAACUAGACCGAUCGGUCCGAUCUAGUCUAGUUUUAGGGGCCACUGAUCCAAUUCUCGAUUUCAGAUCUGGGAACCAGUUCCUCUGGUUCGCUCCUAUCACCCCUAAUUUUGCAUAUAUAUUCCUGUGAUGUCUAUGUGGAAUCCACUAUUGAGGAAAUGGCUAUAGCCAAUGACCGUUGGUCAACCUCUUCAAAUAUACAUGUCGGUUUGUUUCUCCACUAGCCUUAUCAUCUUUGAUUGUAAAAUAUUGGGUGGCUGUUGGCUGGAAGUGGUAGCUGAUAGAGGUAAUUCGGUGAUGUUUAGGAGUAUACUUUUCAAACGAGUGAGUAGUGGCGAAAAUUAUCCGAUCUAAAUUGACUCAUUUAAUUUGUGAUACAAAUCUAUUAACUCAUACCUAGACCUAUAUUGUUCAAAUACUUUAAUAUGUAAAUAAAUCUUAGAAAAUUCAUAUCCAAAUUCAUGUAAGAGCACGAAAUGAGUGAGCGUGAGAUUAGUUAAGGGCAAGAGAGAGUUAUAGAGGUAGAUUUGGUUAAAGUAAAGUUAUGAAACACCUAUAUUAUUUUGGACCUUAAAUUCUAACCCAUAUAUGACUAAUUUACUAAAUAAGACUAACCCAUAUAACAACUCAACUCAUCAAAUAGAUGUUAAGUAAUUGAUUUAUGACUCAUUUUGACAUGUUCAGUUAGGAAUGAGUGAUGGUGGUGUUCAAUUUAACGCUUGAUGUAGGCGAAAUUCUAUUCCUUGAGCAAGAUGUGAAAUGGACUCAUGAAUAGAGUGCUUAGCAUGAAGAAGAAAAACAUGAAGAAAAAAGAGCUCAAAGAGCUUUGAGUCAUGAAAAGAACAGAAGAAAAUGAAACAAGGAUGUGACAUCCUGAAUUUCGACCCUAUCCGAAUAUAUGAAAUGGGCAUUUCGUUGAUGCGCCUAUGGUCCUUUUUUUUUUCUUUUUUUUGAGUUGGCCAUUCACGAGUUAACUAAUCUAUUAGGUGAAGCCGUUAAGGGAUAUAAACGCGACAGACUUGAGAAUUCGAUAAGAAAUCGGUUGCUCGAUCGUGAUAAUUGGCAAUGGUCAAUACGGCACCGUUAUAAUUGAUUAGUGAUUGGAUAUAGGUCAAUUUGACGGAAUCACAUAACUAGAUUACGGGUGAUUCCACUUGAUUGCAAAAUUUGCGUCAAACGGCACUAACCCGAUUUUCUGCUGAUUCUGUACCCUGUGCCCGUAAUUGAACUUUGAGAUUUUUACAACAAUUGAGAGUCGCCAAUGAGUCAGAGAUGCACAAAUGUGUAUUGAAAAUUAUCAAUCACGAGUCAAAUGCGAUAAAAUUCAUAAAGCUAGUCGGUAGGUUGGGUUGCGCUAAAAUCGUGUUCAGUCGAUUUUAAUCAUGAAAUUGAAUUCUGUUUCGGGAAUUGAACGUUCGAACGUAUUACAAAUCAUUUAUAGGAUGUCGUCUUGUCUUUUGGGGAAAUUAUGUCGAACCUAGAAUUUUACGGAAAAAAUCGAUUUUCGGCAAAAAAGAAAAUAUAAAGGGAAAUUCGGAUGGGUAGACUAAGUUGGAUUUCUCUACCUCAAUUAGGCUUAUUUUGGGAAAUUAAGCUUAGGAAAGUAUUUUGGGAGGAAGGGAUAAAGCAUGAAGAUUUUUGGGGCAUGCUCAAUGAGUGAAUUUGGAUAUUUACCUUGACUUCUUGGCCUUUGUCCCCUUGUCCCCUCUCUCCCUCAUCUCUUCUUCCCUCUCUCCUCUCUCUUUCCCCCAUUCUUGCGUGCAUGAGCCCCUCCUUUAGUAGAACAUCCCACUUCCCCUCAUGUUAUUUCCCUUCCUCUUCAUUUCUCCCUCUUCCUUCUUCUUCACCCUUCACACUAGCUUGCUCCCUCUCAUUUUUGUUGCUGGACCACCCACUUCAACCUCACGCCACUUCACCAGCCCAUGACUUCACAGCACCAUCCUCACACCAUCUUCUUCAUCACACAGCCCAGUAACCUCCACGCCAAGCCACACCACCAAUAGUCGCUAGUUUUGCCUAGCAACCCUUGCAUCCAGCCACCACCGGUGGCUACCUCACCACCCCAUUUCGGUCACAGCAGCACCUCCACAAUUGCGGGAAGUAACUCAGCUCCAGAACCAGAACCAAAAUUCUAGCAGCAAGCCAUGGGCUUGCAAGGCUUUUUUAGCUUUGGUCGGCCCUUUGUUGGAGAUGCUGUAGGCUCGGGUAUUGGCCACCGUCGUACUGCCAUCGCCGUGGACCUGUUUGUUUGCUAAUCCAGUGAGUUAACUCCAUAAUCCUUGAUUAUGUUGUUAAUUGCACUUAAGGGGUUACUUUAGUGUUAAUUAGUUUAAGUAGAUUAGUACUGAGUGAGAUUAGCCUUAAGAUGAAUUAGUGUUAAUCUAUUUUGAUUAGAUUAACUUUAAGAUGGAUUAGUGUUGAUCUAGUGGGAAGGAUUAGCACUAAUGAGGACGGUUUAGUUCAAUUUAGUGGAUUUUUCCUCAAAUUUGGUUUUUUGAACCCUCGCCAUUUGCCAUUUUUGUGGAUCGAAAUGUGCUGAGAUUUUGAGGUUGAUUCCUUCUUAAAAAAUGUUUUAGACAUCUUUCUCUAUAACAUAUAUUUUUUGUCAAGAUCUUAUGGAUUUAAAAGAGUAUUAUUACAACUUUGUCAAAAAUAAAAUAGAACCCUUGCUUUUAUUGGAACUGGUGACCUUUUGGGAUUCAAGGGAUUUUUAUCAACUCUUAGGGUUUGAAUUUCGAAAAUGGUUUUUUCACUAAAGUUGUUUUUCACAUCUUUUAGUUUAACAUAUUCAAAUUUCAUAUCAAAUGGAUAAGUUUUAGAUUUCAAAACAAAUUGAUUUUGGGGAAUGUAAUUUUUUGACAUGAACACAGUUUUUGUAAUGGCUUGAGAAAAUUACUACUCUUAAUCUAGAAUGAUUUGGGUUUUGGAGUCUUCAUACAAAUUUUUCAUUUAAGUAUCCUUUAUAACAUAUUAAAAUUUGUGAAUUUUCUGAGCUUGUUUGGUUAUAUUUCUGAAAUUAAACUUGAAGACGCUCGAGUGGUUUGGUUUCUGCCAAUUAGGACCGAUUAUGGUUUUGUGGUUGUUCUUGAUGUCGUGCUUGUUGAAUAAGGCAUAUUUAGUGAUGUGGUGGACUUGUGACAUGUUGAGAACUUAGGUGUGAGAUCAUGAGGUGGAAUGCUCUUUGUUGGUUGUUAUUGUUAUUGCAAAACAUGACAUUUUGGACUAUUAAAUAGAAAAUAAAUGAGGUGUCGGGUCUGGACACCAAAACUUAUUUGCCCAUUAAAACAAUAAGGUUUUAAAUUAGGUGCAUGUAAAGUUUGACGGAUUAAUUUUGAGUAUGUGAGCAUCUACAAAUUUAUUUCUAAACGUUUUGAACCAAAAAAAAAAAAAAAAGAGGGGUUACUAAAGGUUUGUUUUCAAAAGAGGGGGUUGGAAAAGAAAUUAGAAAAGAAAUAUGGUGUCGGGUUUGGACGCCAAGUUUUAUAUGCUAAAUAAAACAAGGAGGUUUUAUACAAGAUGCGUGCAAAUUUUGGUGGGUUAAUUUCAAAUACAAGACUCCGUGCGAAUUUAUUUCGAAGAGUUUGAACAAAAAAAAAGGGUGCCAAGUGAAUUUUAAAAAGGGGUUUUUGGGGUUCUUGGCUACAUGUUGGAAGCUAAGAGUUGGCUUGGUUGAUGAGGUGCCUGCAUGGUUAGGUUACUUAAGUAGUUCAAUUUAAUUAGUUGCAAUUUAUUUAUUUAAUUGCAAUUUAUUUAAUUAUUUAUUAAUUAGCAGAAAUUAUACCAAGAUAUCCAGCUGUUAGAAUUUUGUGCUGAUCAUCAUGGCUGUAUCGAUUUAUACAAUUGAGGGCUAAUUUGUGCAAUUGAAUGCUGAUCGGUGAUUUUGGGCUAUUAUUUCAAAAAUAGAAUUUUUGUAUUUAAUUAGAAAAAUAAUGGGUGUUGGUUUUUUACACCAAAAAAAUGUUUUUAGGUACUAUAUAAAAUCAUGGGAUUUUUAAAAGAAAUGAUGUUGCGCUUUACGGUUUGAUUUGAUCAUGUGUCUACGCACACCUAUUUUACCGAGUGUUUUUAAUAUAAAGAAAAUAGGCCAAGCACAUUAUUUUAAUUGAGGCAUUUGAGUAUAAAGCACGAUAUCCUUAGCCAAGAUUGGAUGUGCAUGUGAUCGUUAUGAGAACCCGUCGUGAGCGUUUACGCUGGGCGAUGCUCUUAUAUGGAAUGCCUUAUGUCAAUAGAUGCCGGAUCGCGAUAGAAGCCGGACUGAUGCUCCUUUGGGAAUACCGUCUAGAGGUAGAUGUUGCUGUGAUCGAUGGGGUGAGACGAUGCCCAGUUAUGUUGGAAGACUGCCAAAUGUCGAGUAAGUCGUGCCCGUGGGGCCGUAACUAAAUUGGAAGGCAUGAAUAAGUGAUUUAGUCACGCCUGAUUAUGAGACAUAAUUGUGUGGUACGAAAUGGGACGUGUCAUAAUGAUUUGGCCUUAUAAUCGGGAUCCCUGUGAUUGAUUGAGAUAUAAGUGAGCGUUCCAGUCAUUGAUUGCAUCUACCACAUUUAUAAAUGUAUAUGAGUCAUACUGACAUGUAGGGAGGUGUUGAGGCGACAUAAGUUCUAAGUGGUGCAUGUUUAGGACGCCUCUGAGUCAAUUCUCGUCCUAAUCGGGAUUUAGGGUGUUGACUCGCUGAGACAUUGUCUCACCCUGUUGUGGUUUAAAUUUUUUAGGUCCCUAGUGUGGAAAACCCGGAGCCCGAGGCUAAAGGGUCCAGAGUGUAGGUGGCCAGGUAGUUUCCUUUUGAAGCAGACUUAUGUGAAUAGACUUGUAAGACUUGUUUGGCAUGUGUAUAAAGUGGUUUGUGAUAAUUGGCUUGUCUUUCCACUAUCUUAGUCUUUGAUGGUUGUUAGGGUAUCUGUUAAAUUUCGCUUCCGCAUGUGCAUAAAAUGAAUGGGUCGGUGAUCGUUUGGAGACAUUGCAAAUUUUAGUUGACCACCGAGGGAUGUGUGUGUGCCCGGGGUUCGGGGUGUGACAAAGGAAAUACAAAUAGAAAGAAUAAUAAGAAAAAUAGGAAAUGAGAUAUAAUAAGAAAAUGGGUUUUAUAACCAAAAAAAAAAAAAAAAAAGUAAAAGGAUCGAUAUGGUUUUACCAUGGGUUCAUUGAGAUUUACAGAAGAGUGAGCUUUAUGUGAGCAAAGGCCUAAUAGGGUUUCGGUGUUAGUGUAGUAAAAAUGGGCCAAAUUCGGUUAUAGCAAAGCUGGAUUCAGUGGGGUAAUUUUUGAAAAAUGGCUUUGAGGGUUUAAAACUAAGAAAGGGACUUUAUAUAAAAGCCGAUCGUGUCCUCUGGCCCAGCGUGAAAUCAUUUUAGACCAUAUUCAGACCAGGCCCAAGGGCCAGCCCAAGUCGAUGUUUCCAGAAAAUAAUAAAAAUAACAAUAAAAUAUAAAAAUUUGGAAAAUCAAUUAGAAAAAUAGGCCACGGUGAGGUUGUCAGAUUUUUGUAUCAAAUUUAUCUUAUUUUCAUUUAGAAUUCAUAUAAUUAAAAAAGUACUCCUUGAUUUUCAGUGUAAGUCGUGCUUUUACUUGAUGGUUUAAUAAUUGGUGUAUUCAUUACCAAUUAGAUUUCGGAUUCUUAGUUUAGUUGAAGCUCACUUAAGAUUAGUUUAGCUGAUUAGUUUUAAUGAAUAAAAUAAAUUUAGCUAAAAAAUAAAUAAUAAAAAUACUAAAUAGUAAUUCAGAAACAUCAUUUAAAAAAAAAAGUCAUAGUAAAUAGCUUUGUUAAAUUUAUGAUUCACCUCAAAUAAUUGAAUAGGCAGCGUGGAAAUGUUGUAACCUAGAUGAAACUUGAGGGGGACUAAAUUAGUACCUAAUAUCCUAAAGUCAGAUUGGGACCCCAACUUAUGAUGACAAAGUAUGGACCUGCUGAUUCAUGUUUCUUUGAAAGUUAUGAUAACCCACGUUACGCAUUUUAAAAUAGAAUAGUCUCUAAAGUCAACCUCAUAGAGAUUGAUGUCCUAGAACUCAAUAACGAGGCCAUGCCAUAUUCAUAACUCCGUGGAUUUAAAAAACCUUGCUCGAUCACUACAUGGCGAUCAACAAGACCUAGAAAAAUUAAUCGAUUUCUAGCGAGUCUCUUCUUGUCAUUGUCAAGAACAUUUGUUGAUUAUGAAGCACCAGCACUCUUUGGGGGUCUUAUCUCAUGUCGGAUACUCCAACACGUGUCCAACACACAGUCAAUAGUUUUCAGAAAAUUCGACACAUGGUCAAUUCUCCCAACACGCUUCAACAUGUGAGUUUGGAAUUCCUACAUACAUAGAGUCAAUUUUAAUUUUUUUUUUAAUAAAUGAGAGGUCAAAAUGUCAAUAUGUAAAACCAAAUAAAAUAAAAUAAAAUAAUAAAAGGAGAAAGAAGAAAAAUCUAGUCUUAUUUUCUUCUAAAUCUCAUUUCUCGUAACGCACAAUUCCCCCCUCUCCUCCUCUCGGUGAGCAUCACUCCUUUUAUAGUGUUGCUCAAAAUUGAAGCAAAAUAUGAUAUUAACAAAUAGUAAAUUAACGUUUUUUGUAUAAAUCAUUCUAUGUUAUUUUUUAAAUAUUUUAUUUAUUUAUUUGUAAGUUUGAAUCAAAUUAAUUUGAUUGAAAUAAUAAUAAAAAUGAUAAUUUAUCAUGUAUAUAUAAAAAUACAUAUUUAAUAUACAACGUGUCUUAACACGUCCAAAUUCUCUAUUUUUUGAGGAAUGAUGUGUUGGGAUACUGUAUUGCGUGUCACAUGUCAAUGUCGAUACUACUUAGUCUGCCGAUACCAAUUCAACGUCCUCAUUUGCCUCUUUGACUGGAUGCAGAAGAGCAAGUCCUCAAGCAUGCUUAAAUUUUUGUUUAUUUGCUAAAUGAGACCCGUAUCCUAUGAUGAUGUAGUCGUGGACAAGAGAAAUGAAUCCAAGUAAUGGAUGAAUAAAUUGACUCCACUGAAAAGAAUGACACAUGAAUGCUAUCUUUUUUUUUUUUUUUUUUUUUUUAUCACCCAUUGUUGUUAAGUGAGUGAAUAAAAAGAAGUACCAACUGUGGACCGUUACAAAGCCAAACCGGUUGUAAAAGGACUAUAAGCAAAAUGACAGAAGAACUUCAUCUUCAACCAUGGUUUCGACUCGCAUUGUCUAUGACCAUUGUUUGCCAUUGAUAUCGUGGAUUCCACACAGUGAUUGACUUUUGAAGGGACUUAUCUUAUGGGAAAAGAGGAGGAUAAAAGGUUGAAUUUCUGAACUUAUGUGGUUCGAUUUAGGGUCUGCAAUGAGCCGAUGAUCAUUUAUUAUUAUUAUUAUUUUGAGUAACUGAUCUCAUAUUUCAUUUAAAAAUCAGCUUGCUCUACUUGUUUCAUGUUUGUCGACCUUCCUCAGAAUCAAUCCUAAUUAGCUUGGAACUUAUUUCAUCUCUAUCGAAUUCCUCCCAAUUCAUCAAUUGUGAAGAGUUACCGACUUAGCAUCUUUGGGAAAUGAAAUUGAACUGAGCCAGGUAUGAAACCUACCAAAAUAAACCAAACUAUCUUACUAUCUUGUUCUUAGCAUGUGCAUCAGGAGAUUAUUAUAAUUCUGUGGAAUGUCAUGUUGAUCCUUCAAUGAAAAAUUGUAAUUUAAGUGCACAUAUAUAUAUAUUUUAUUUCGUGGUUCUUCCUCCUGCUUCUUUGUCUAUCAUCCCCUAGCAAAAUGCUGAAAUAGAAUUCCAUUACCAACAAAAGGAAGUUCUGAACAAUCUCUCAACCAGUGAAUAAGGAUGGUCUCCCUUGUACUUUGGAAACGAAACUAGUCAUUUCAUACCCCUUGGGCUAUACUUAUUCAUGAGUUCUUUCAGAACUAGUUUGCAUCAGUUUACUUAUUUCUUGCCAUCAUGCUAAAUCAUGAAAUGUUAGCAAUAGGUCCUAUUUUUGCUUGAAUAUGCGUGGGUUCAAUGACCAUUUGAUCCUGUGCAGCAUCUUUUGAGAGCAAUGCUGGUGAUAGGUGUUGGUGCUAGUAAUAUCACCUAAAGGGUGGGUGAAGAGGUGAUUUUGACAAAUUUUCACAAAUUUAAAGCUGAAGUAAAGUAGUGAAGAUCUCAGUCCAAACAACGGUAGUAGAAUGAUGACAUUUACUAGAGCGCAAAGGUCGGGGUUUGAACAGAGAUCAGAAGUAGUUUUUUUUUUUUUGGUUGUAAUUAGAAGUAGUUUAUUAGUGUGAAAAAGUCUAUAAAUUUUUUUUCAACUAGAGUUCUAGAGAGAAGAGAACUUGCACGUAGAAUUUAUAGUGGUUUGGUUUAUAGGAAGCCUACGUCCACUAUCCCCCGUUAAUAGUCUACUGGCUGGAUUCCACUAGAUAAUUAAUAGGAGAUUACAUUCAAGUUGUGCCGCUUAUAUCAAAGCACUUCUAUCCAAAGUUGGUGUUGCUUAUUACCAAGCCAUUAGAUCUCUUCUCUCUAGAAAUGAUUAUAAGUGUAAGCUUAUGAAGGACAAGCAUCGAAGUGCUCUUAGACUUUGAAAUUUUUGAUUCUAGACCUCUCUAUUUUCUUUAUACCUUGGUCUCCUUUUAUAUUCAUCAACUUCUAAACUAACCAUUGGACAGUCUUGAAAGGAUCACUCUCUAAUCAAGUUGUUGGACAAGAUUACAUAUGGAAGAUUGAGUAGCCAUUGAGAGAUAAGAACUGAAUCCCCAUUGAUUUGGUCACCUAUACAAACAAAUCUUCAAUUUCAAUGAAUGGAGUUUUUCAAGUAAGGAACAUCACUUGUCCUUAAAAUGAUCAUCAAUCACUUCUGAUGUCUUACAUUGAUGAAUACCAUUGCAAAACAAUCUUUAAAAUUAAAGAUUAAUCAUUAUUUUUCUAUGAGUGAAAUUUGAGCUAGAUUACUAGCUGUAUAGUUAUAAGAACUGAAGUUUGCAUUUAGAUAGGUCUCUGUGUCUAAUGAUAUUUGGAAGAGUGUCUGAACAUGUCUCCAAGUCUGAUGAUAUUUGGAACAGAGUCUGAAUAGGUCUUUUAGUUUGAAUAGAAGAUGAUAUUGUCUAAGUCUAAAUACUCCUAAAGUCUGGAUAGAAUUUUCAUAAAGUCUGAAGAUGCCAAGCGUCUUGACAAUACUCGAGUGCAAGUUUUGCUAAUAUCCUCAUAUUAUUCUAAUGAUGUCCAUGACAUAUAAUGAUGAUGUCCUUGACGUAAAUAUUCAGAACUUUAGACGCAAUGUUCAGAUGACAAUAAAUAGAGUUUGAACAUUGUUUUUUCAUGAGCAUCACCUGAAAACAAUUUUGUCAUAUUCAACAACACUUAUGAAGGUUUUGUUAAUCUUCAAAAAAAUAUUAGGAAGUUUUCCCAACAAUGGACAUAUCCAUACUAACAAAAAAUCACUUAAGCCCAUCCCAAAUCCCACGGAAAUGGAAGUGGAAGCGUUAUUUGAUGCUCCAAUGGAGAUAUUCAUCAAGGUACUGCUUCAUUCACACACCAUACGACUGUAGUUAUCUUAGUGAAACAUGAAGGUGCUCAUGAUAAGAGCAACGCAUAUUUGUUUCAGGAUGAAAAUCACAGAGCUGAAGAGAGAGAGAGAGAGAGAGAGAGAGAGAGAGAGAGAGAGAGAGAGUUUGGGUAAUAUAUAUAUCUCAAAUAUCUCAAUCAUUUCUUCUACUAUGAUGCGAGAAUUAAGAAGUAUUUGAUAUGGGGAUUAACCGCAGGGAUUUUUAAUAAGGGCCACAUCAGUGGUACACUAGCGGCCUCCAGCUUUUUUUGGAGCAAAGUCCAAAGUUUAGAGUUCCUAGAAUAGUAAAUGAAGAUACUAUAAUGCCUUAAAUCUUGGCAAAAUUGUUGACAUUACAUAUUCAAUAAAAGCAAGAAUUUAUUACUGCCGGAUUCAAUAUGCUGAAGACGACUGCUUGGAUGAACUCCGCAGUACUGAAGCGUUGCAAAUCUGUAACUUAACGCAUCUUCUUGAUGCUCUUAGUGAAGAUGUUGAUCAUUUUCGCAAAGAAGAAAAUAAAUUUCAAAAAAAGACGUGCAUGAUUAGUACCUAGUUGUUGAGGAUUCGAUGUCAAUUCGACAUUGAGUGCAAUGGCAUCAAUUUGGAAUGGAGUUGAUAUUCUGAUUUCCCCUGUUUCUUUUCUGGUGAAUUCAUGCGGCAAAUCUGAUUCAUGGAUCAAACCAUCGCUUGUUUCAUGCACGAAGUGCCAAUUUGAAAACAAGAGCAAUCAAUUGUAACAAUGAUAUAAGAACAAACCAAGUGCGGACUCUUGCAAAGGGCGGCAAUUCGAAAUCCGGGGGAUGACUGCAGAGGAUCUUUGCCCUUCUAGAGCCCAUUCAACACUAAAAGCUUACUUGCGAUGUUGAGAGCACGUAGCAAAAUUCCAAUACCUUUUGCUUGGGGAGAUAGCCAAGAGAGAGCCAAAAUCUGAAACCGUCAGUAUAUCUAGUUGGAUUUACAUUCAAAAGUUUUAACUAAUGAGUUAUGAGCGAACUAAGAUACAUUAACUACUUUAUAGUAUAUCAAUUUUCCAAUGUGGGAUUUCUCUAAUACAACUCACUCACAUGUGUGUCUUACCAAUUUUCCCCUUACGUGUGAGCUCAGUGUUAGUUCUGCUCCCCCUUAAUUUAAGUAUCUUUCUAGCCCUACUUCAUCCUUGCGGGCCUGCAUUGUUACAUCACAGUGCCCAUUCGUUUGGAAACCGCAACUAUCGACUUCGAUACCAUUUGUUGGAAGUGCGCAUGUGACAUCCCGAUUUUCCGAUUCUAUUUUCAAUAAAUUGAGAUGGGCAUUUCAUUGGCACGCAUAUAGUUCUUUUCCUUGAGUUGGCCACUCAUAUGGAAACUAGUCUAUUGGGUGAAGCUGUUAAGAGUUUCUAAUGCAUCAGACUCGAGAAUUUGACUAGAAAGAGACCUUUUGAUCAAGCUAGUCUGCAAGGGUUAUUACGGCACAAUUAAAAUUGAUUAAAGAUCGGAGAUAGGUCGACUCGACAGAGGCAUGUGAUCAGGUCUGGGUAAUUCCACUAGAUCGCACAAUUCGUGUUGAUCGGCACUGGACCGACUUUUCUAUCGAUUGGGAACCCUGUGUUCGUAUUUGAAACGUUGAGAUUACCCCGACAACUGAAAGUUGCCAAUGUUUCAAAGAUGUAUAUUAUGGCUUGAGAUGAUCAACCACAGGUCAAAUGCAUAAAAAUCUCUAAAGGCUACCUAGUAGGUUGGGUCGCACUAGUAUCAUGCCAAAGUGAAAUUAACAGUGGAAUUGAGAUCGAAUUCAGAAAUUGGAAGUCUGGGUAUGUCACAAAUCAUUUUAGGAUCAUUGACUUAUCUUUGGAAGAUUUUUCAUGCAAUCAGAGUUUUUCAACAAUUAAAUCAGAAAAUGGUUAAUUUGGCUCGAGAAAUUAGUAGGCCCGCAUUUGGUUGCGCUUUUGGGACUUAAGUUGAUCCUAUGGACAAGUGAAGAUGCGAAUUGAAGUGUGGUGACAUUGAAUUAAUUUUAUGGGCUUUAAUUUAAUUCAAUUAGAAGAGAACCGAGUGAAAUUGAAGAAGUUAUUGUACAAAGAAUUGGACCCCGGUGGAAAUUGCAAGUGAACCCAUUGAAAUAAGGUUGUGGGAGAUGGUGGAGUGGUGGGCCAUUUGUUGGAUUAAAGAAAAGGAAAAAAGAAAAGAAAAGGGCCCCCUCAUUCUCUCUCCUUCCUCUCUCCCUUCCAUUGGUUUCUCCUCCAUCUUAUUUGAGCGAAAGACCAGAAAAUUUGCAGAGGAGAAGCUGAAGCAGUCCUUCGCCGCCCAUUCACUCGUCGCCGGCCGUCCGCGUCCGCUCGUUGUUGCUGCCGUCACCUUCGCCCCGCGUCGCCCGCGCCCGCUACCGGUCAGCUCGCCUCUUCGCUCCACCUCAGCCCCUUUCCUCAACAGAUCUGAGGAGGUGUCGAAGCUGGCUGCAGCCCAACCGGACCGCCGUCCUCGCCUCGCGUUGCCCGCCACUGCUCGUCGUUCUUGCGCACACUGCUGCCGUGAGUCUCGGCCCGCCUCUCGCUGAGAUCUAGCUCGUCCUAGCCUUCGUGGGCUGUUGUAGGCCGUGGAUCAGCCACCUCCGGCCACCGUGAGACCCCACCUAGCCGCUGUGUGCCACCGUCCAAGCUGCCGCCUCUUUCCUCCGCCAUUCCUCCACCCGAAUCACCGCCGGAUAGCCCUCCUCCGCCCAUGAUCAGAAGCUGCAAAAAAUGGGUAUGGCAGCCCAUGUUUGGCCCAUUUUGGCCGCCUUCCCGAGCCCGGAUGCUCGGCCCACCUUGAGGAAAGUCGAUCCUCGCGUCGUCCUCGUUGUUUUGGUCCACUCGGCUUGUUAAUCCGGUGAGUUUAACUCACUAAACCUCGAUUAGAGGGUUAAUUAUGCUUAGGGAGGUUUAGUUUACAUUAAGUAUUAUUAGGUGGUAAGAUUAGUUUAUUUGAUUGAGGAUUAGAUUAUGAUGUUUAAUUAAGUUAAAGUGUGUUUAGUUUAAAGUUAAUUAUGUUUAUUUUAAUAUAAAGCCUUGAUGUGACAUAAUAGGUUUUAUUUUUUAUUUAUUUAAAUGUUUCGAAAUUCUGGAAUUUAUAAUAUUAUAUUAUAUUCCAAAACUAUUAAAAUAUUAUUAUUUAUAAAAAAACGAAAAAAUUAUUUUUGACCCCAGUUGCUCAGAAUUUCGUGCCAAUCGCUACGGUGCAUUCGGAUUUUGAAAUUGAUGAUUGGAUAAAUUGAGUGUGGAUUUCAAAAACUAUGGAUAUUAUUAUUUAAUUAAUUUUCGGAAUAAAUUUAAUUAUUUAUUAAAUUCUGAAAAUUUUCGUCGAGACAUUAUUUGCUCAGAAUUUCGUGCCGAUCGCUACUGUGCAUUUAGAAUUUGAAUUUGAUGAUUGGUUAUGGCAAAUUGAGUGUGAUUGCGAUAAAUAGGGAUUCUUUAUAAAAUCCUAAGUGUGGAAAUUGAUGGGAGAUUGGCCGUGAUUAACCACCUAUUAAAGGUCGUGCCUAAUAGGGCCGUGAUCGACCACCUAUUAGAGGUCGUGCCCAGUGGGGCCGUGAUGGACCACCUAUGAGAGGUCGUGCCUAGUGGGGCCGUGAUGGACCACCUAUGAGAGGUCGUGUCUAGUGAGGUCGUGAUUGAUCACCUAUUAGAGGUCGUGCCUAGUGGGGCCGUGAUGGACCACCUAAUUAAAGGUCGUGCCGAGUGGGGCCGUGAUUGCCACUGAUUGUUAAACCUUCCUAUAGGGCCGUGAUUGAGAGCAAUGAUUGAUUUGCUAGAAUGAUAUGUAAUCGGCCGAGUCGAUUGAUUCCUGAGACGAUCCAAGUGGUUGAAUUGUUUUGAUAAUGUGAUUGUGCCAUGGUUAUUUGGUUAUCAUAAUUGUCCAUGGUUGAAUUAUAUAAAUUGUGCUAUCCUGCAAAUAAAGGCUAAGGCGAGGUAAGUUUUCUGUGUGAUGUGGCUAGGCCACCAGAGGCGUAUUUUCUUUCUAAUAAGGGUUUAGGGGGUUGAACUUGCUGAGACAUCGUCUCAUCCCGGUUGUGGGAUUAAAAUUUCAGGUCCCCGGUGGACGGAGCGGCCAGAUAGCUCUGGUUGGCCUUGAGGAGUUGCAGAUGUGAAGUCAUAAGGAUUGGAGAGCGUGUCCGACUUGUAGGUCAUAGGACAGUUCAUUUUUAAGAGCUGGUCUUUUGUAGACUUUUGGCUGUAGGCCUUCGUCUGUAACUCUGUUGGUUUGUGUAAGUGAUUGGUUGUGAAAUUGUUUCCUACUUUUCUAUCCCGUAUUUUAUUGUCAGGGGUUUUAUAAUACGUUCCGCUUGCGAAAUAAAAAAGAAGAAGAAUGGAGUCGGCGACAUUAACCUGGGAACGUCGCAUUUGAACAAUCGCAGUGGGAUGUGCGCGCGCUCGGGGUUCGAGGCGUGACAGCGCAACAGAAGUUUGAUACCUUAACCUUAGGAGAUCACCAAGAUGAAGCCUAAAAUCCAAGCUUUUUUUUUCCACCUAUCUUUACUCAAAAACUUAAGCUGAUGAGUUAUGGGCCAACUGUGAUAUAUUAAGUACUUUACAUCAUAUUAAUUCUCUGAUGUGAGAUUUCUUUGACACAACUCACUCACAUGUGCAUCUUAAUAUGUAGGGCCUAAACAACAACCUUUUUAACUAUGGGAGGCAUGCCAUGUUGUUGAUGUCACGCCCCGAUACUCAAGCGUAUGCCUAUCCCUCGGUGGUCAAUUGAAAUGUGACGUCCCAGGAUGCGUCGCCAACCCAUUCAUUUUAAUGUGCAUGCGGAAGCAAGUAAAUAAAUUCUCAGACAACACAAAGAUGAGAUAGAAAAGCAGGACCACAAUUUUAAAAUCCACAACACACCUUUACACAUAGCAGACUAGGUCAUUUACAAUACUAGUCUAUAUUCACAAGUCUACAAAAGUAGAAGGGCUACAAGUCCUCUAAGCAUUCAAACAUUCAGUGGAAGACUCCGGGGUCUCUUGGGGACUCAGGUCCACCACUGCACCAUCGGGAGGGUCAGCUAUACCCUCGCCAAAAGUGAUCUCUAAUACCGACAUAGGGAUCUUAGAGUUCGGUAGGGGACCUUCUCUAGGUCCAUCUCGCCCGCGACAAUAGCACAAUCUGAAUUAAUGGGGUACCUUCUAGGGUAGGCUUGCAUCAACCCAUACGAUAGAUCUCACAAGUUCAUAGACUCAGGCUCCUUGGCCCUCAGGAAGAGGAAUCAGAGAGACCUGUUUGGUGACCUUCUUGGGCUAGCCAAAAUGUUAGCCCAUGAUGGGGUGAGACAAUGCCUUAGCAAGUUCACCCCCUAAACUUUGAGUAGGAAGGGAAUAUGCCUAAAGGUUGUCUAUGCACACACAAGACAUAUGACUUACCUCGCCUCAGCUCAUUCUUGCAAGUCAGUACAAUUCAUAUACUCAACCAAUCAAUUCAAAUCAUCGAUUCACUUAGUCAAUCAACUCAAUUCAACACAAUUGAUACAACCACGGCUCACACAAGCUGAAAUAGAUGGUCUUUGCUCUUACAAGCUACAAUAUAUAGUCAUAGCUCUCACAAGCUGAUAUAGAUAGAUAGUAGCUCGCCCAAGCUGAUAAAUAUAUAGAUUGUACUCCCACAAGCUGAUAAAACGAUCUUAGCUCACACAAGCUGAUAAGGUAUACUGCUCUCACAAGCUGACAUAUCGAAGCACAUAGGCUAAUAUAGUAUACUACUCUCGCAACCUGACGUGCAAAGGGUCUCUCAUAAGCUGACGAUAAAUAUGCUUGCACAAGCUAAUAAUAAAUGGUCUCAUAAGCUGACAAAACAACGAGUUAAAAAUACCCAAUAAAAAUAAUCGUGUGUAGGUACACGAUUGGCUUGAGCCAAAAUUUCAAUAUCUUUCUUUUAGAAAAUCACACUAAUUAUUAGUAGUCCAUAAAUACAUUUUUGGCGUUGUAAACCGACGCUUGAUAUUUUUUGAUUAAAAUACCAAAAGCACACAAUUUGGGAUAAAUACCCAAAUUUAUCAAUUUCACUCAAUUUGCACAAUCUAGUAUUCAAUUAAUAAACCAAGCAUACCAUUGUAAUUAACACGAAAUUCCGGUUACAGACUAUCUCGGUAUAAUUUCCAGAAAAUAAUAAAUAAUAAAAUAAAUACCAAAAAUAAUUAAAUAAAUACAAUUAAAUGCCAUAAAUAGAGACUUAGGCUGGAAAAGCCAAAUUAAAUACCAAAAUGGGAUUGGAAAAAUUUCGAACCUAUCUAGAUAAAUAAUACAACCUAUGUAGUUGCUAAUUAAGCCUAUCUAAUCGCCUAACAUACAAUAACUAGUAAUUAAAUUGCUAAUCUAUUUUAACUAAUCAUCUAAACCAUACUUAGCAUAAACUAAUAAACUCUUAAGCAUCAUUAACUUUCUAAGAAGAGUUUACUGAGUAAAGUCACCGGUUUUGCAAUCCGGUGAGUCUACGACGAUGGCAACGCGGAGAUGGACGACAAAUUCCAAAGUGGCAAUACCCAAUGAGGCCCGGAAGUGUCCUAAAUGGGCCUUGAAGCCCAUAAAGGCUUGUUGGCUGUGGUUCUAAUCUUGGGCCGAGAGAGGUGGCGUGGGGCUCGGCUUGGGCUGGAAACAGCCAGGCGGGCUGCUAGGCAAGCGUGCUGAGUAGGCGGUGGUUUCUAGCAUCGGGACGGGCAACCAAGCAGCUCCGACGGCUAGGGACGGUGGCUCGAAGGCGUUGGGAGGCAAGGCUGGGCGCGACUGGAGGCGAAACGGCGCGCGGGACGAGUGUAACUUGCGUGGGCGCGCGACGGCGAUGAUGCGGGGGCAAGGGUAUGGUGGGCAUGCGACGGCCAAGGGGGGUGGCUGGCUCGGUUUUCUCUAAUUUUGGAGCUUCAAAAGUUGAUCAACAAUGGGGAAAGCAAGCUAUAAUGAAGAAGAAGAAGCUAGCUGCCCUUGGAGGGUCCUUCCAAGCAACCAAGGUCUCCUAUCUCAUCCUCAUCUCUCUUGGCAAGGCCCCACCCCAAUUGGUAGACUUCCUUAGCCAAUUUUGUGCACAAAUAUCUCCCAAUUCUUAAGUGGUCCAAAAGUUGAGGGGGACCAUGGCCUACGAAUUUGGCACCAAAUUCCCCAAAUUGAACCAAAUUUAUCCUCAAUUGGAUUCAAUUCAGCCCCCAUAAAUUUCACCAAGGUGUUCUCGACCAAAUUGAUAUUUUUCCUUGCCAAUAAAACCAACAUGCAUCCCAAAAACAAGAUAAAAUAGGCCCCCUAAGUUUUCCAGUUAAAAACGGCCCUAUUUUGUAAUUUCACCAAAAAUCUCGGUUUGUAGAAAAAUCUUCAGAGGAUGAGUAGAUGUUCCUAAAAUGAAUCGUGAUAUGACAGAAUUUUCAAUUUCUAAAAUCAAAAUCAAAUUCGUGGUUAAUUUCAAUCUGGCGUGAUUUUAACGUGACAUAGCCUACAGGGUAGCUUUUAGGAAUUUUUGGUGCAAUUGAUCCAUGGUCGAUUUAUUUUGAUCCAUAAUGUACCUCUUCAACAUAUUAGCGACUCUCGGUUGUUGUAAAAAUUUCGAAAUUUCAAAUAUGGACACAGGGUACCAAAAUAACAGAAAAAUUGGUCUAAUGUUGAUCGAAAAGAAUUUUGCAAUUUGGUGGAAUCACCCACACUUAGAUCACAUAUCUCAAUCGAAUCAAUCUAUUUCUGAUCUCUGAUCGAUUUUUAGCUGUGCCGUAAUGACCCUUGCAGACUAGCACAGUCAAGCAGUCAAUUCCUGGUCAAAUUCUCAAGUCUAUUGCGUUAAAAACCCUUAACGGCUUCACCAGAUAGGAUAGUUAUCUUAUGAGUGAUCAGCUUAGAGAAUAGAACUAUAAGCAUGUUAAUGAAAAUUUCGAUUCAUUUAAUUGAAAAUAAAACCUGAAAUUCAAGACGUCACAAUUGAGGUGCCCAAAGCAUCAUGUUGUUACUAUAGUAAAUUGUUUGGAUGCAAAUUAAAACAAAGAACGACUAGAGAGGGCGAGAUUGGUAAGAGAUGUCAAAUAAGAUAAAUGUCACCGUCACCACAUUGGUGCCACUACCAUGGCUAGAAGCAUGUCAUCACUCCUCUCUUUCUCUCUCUCUCUCUCUUCCCCACCCAUUUCGUCUUCUCUGAUCACCUACCCUCAUAGAGAUUCACGCUCUAUUUUCGUUGAUGUCGAGAUAUCUAGGGAGACUAUUUCAAAACGAGUCCAUAUGUGUAGUAGACAACCGGUUCAUCAAGGUGUCUUAGAGAGCUUUGGCAUGCAUAUUUUGCUUUGCUAAGGCAACAACCUUGCCUAGCUUUGGAGAGAGAGAGAGAGAGAGAGAGAGAGAGAGAGAGAGAGAGAGAGAGAGUUCAGUCAUUCUAGAAAUGGUUUGUGGCAUGCGAAGGUUGCUACCUUGGACUAGAGUGGCCAUGGGGAAAUUGGGGAAAAGUAUUAAAAAAGUCCUAAAUGUAUUGCAUUGAUACUAAUUUAAUACUAAACUUUUUAAAGAGAUUAAUUUAGUUUUAAACCCUUUUUCAUUUGUAGCAAUUGAGCCCAUCUGAUCAAUUUAACCCAAAAUUUGCUAAUAUGGACGUUGAUUGUCUCAUGUGAUAGGGCUGACGUUGACAUUCACAUCUUUCAAAAAUUUAAUGAUUAUUUCUUUCCUUUUUUCCAUGCUAGUGCCAAUGGCCAACAAGGGGUCGGCCUCAACUAGGCUAGGAUGAGUGUUAGCAAGGCCAACUCUUGCUCAAGCUGGGAUGGCCUCACUAUGCGUUGCUUGGGCGAAGGUUGGGCCUUGCCCUCGCCCAAGCGAUGCCUUGAGAGGCCAACCUAUGCUAGGCAAUGGUUAGCCUCGUUGGAGCUCACCCUUGCCCAUGUGAGGCCCCGCUAGGGUGACUCUAGCUCAAGCAAGGCCAUGAAAAAAUGGAGGAAAAAAAAUUAUUAAAAAAUUAUAAAAAAAUGUUCACAUUAGUAUCAACCAUAUCAUAUAGCCAAUUGUGCCACAUAGGAUGGUUGACGUCCACAUUAUUAGCAACCUUCUACCUAAAUUGACUGAAUGGACUAAAUUGUAUCAAUAUCAAAAUGUUUGGGCCAAAUUUGUCAAAUAAAAGGUUGAAGACAGAAUUGAUACCAAUGUAUUAGGUUUAGAAUUUUGUUGAUACUUUUCCUAAGGAAAUUGUCCAAUCAAUCCUAAAUAUAUCGCAUAGAUAUCAAUUCAAUUCUAAAUUUUCUAAUUUUGUUGAUUUAGUUCCAAACCUAUACUCGAAAUCCCAAUAUGAUUGUUCCAACCAAUUUUUGUUGGAAAUAAUUGACGUGGUGAUGUGUCACGUAAGACUGUUGACAAUAACUGGACUGCCAUGACAGCAAUUUUUGAAGAAUGCAAUGGAACUCUAUGAAAAGGCAUAAGAUUAAAUUUACAAAGUUAAAAAGUUUAUAACUGAAUUGACAUCCAUAUUAUGAAGAAGAAGAAUACUACAUCUUCGUGCGAUUCCUUGGGGAUUUGCAGGAGGUGACUUGGAAUUCCACCUCCGACGACCCUCGUGGAGGAACAUGAAUUUGAGCCAUGCAACACAACUUGCACAUCGUUUUGAUGUACAAAUUCAUUGGCUCGUUACAUAAGACAACAAUGAGGAACAAUCGAUCGUGCCAAAAGGUGAAAAUGCAUUACGCUUUCCCUCAACGUUAUCCACAAAGAGACAACCCACCCAACUUUCAAGCUUCUUCAGAGGUCGAAAAUAAUAUACAUAGAAUAAAUUAGGCGCAUCAGUAUCAGUUCUUUACCCCAUGGAAGAGAGUUUGAGCCAAAGAGCCAUGGUGUUUUGUUUAAUCUUGGACGAUACACGACAAUACAUCUUUGCGCAUGGUGGGAAUACGUAAGAUUGAACAGAUGAAGAUUCAUAUAAUGUCCUAUCCAGUGAUUUUCGCUCCGAAAACAAAAUGGACAACAGUGACUAAGAUUCAUUCUGCGCGUAUGUACUUUGGUCAUUAGAAUAAUGAAGAGGGGACCAUCCUUAGGACUAUAUAUAUAAGUGGUCGUAACCUAAAUUCUCCAUCGAACCCAAGAAGGUUUUGCUAUCCUGAAAAAGAAAUAAAAUGGGGACGAGAGUGCUCAAAAUUUGCCUAUGCCUAAUGCUGAUAUUACUUUCGCUUCCAAGCUUCCGUGCACGAGCUCCCCACGAUGUGAUCCUAGGGAAGACACUUGGUAAGGCUGUUCUAGCAUUACGUGAAGACUAUGGAAAGGGAGAUAAUAAGCAAGAAGGUCAUUACGAGCUUAUGAGGGGCGAUCCUGGAGGUCCUGAUCCACAACAUCAUUGAAUAACAUGAUCGCCGCCUUUUUUUAUUUGCAACGUCCUAGUGAGCAUGAUAUAAUGCUCUUUUUUCUUUGUCUGUCUUCUUUUGGUUUUCUAUGAGUUUCAAAUCUUGCUAGGUUAUUUUUAAUGUAAUGCCAUGGUCUUCACGUAAUGUUUGAAGGGAAGACACUCGAUAAGGCCGUUCGAGCAUUAAGUAAAGACUAUGGAAAGGGAGAUAAUGAGCAAGAAGGUCGUUACGAGCUUAUGAGGGCCAACCUUGAAGGUCAUGAUCGGCAACAUCACUGAAUAACAUUAUCAUUGCCUUUUUUUUUUUUUUUUUUGCGACGUUCUAGUGAGCAUGAUAUAGCGUUCUUCUUUCUUUAUCAGUCUCCUUUCGUUUUUCUAUGAGUUCCAAAUCUUGCUAGGUUAUUUUCAAUGUAAUGCCAUAGUCUUCACAUAAUGUUUAGUAAGGCUGUUCGAGCAUUGCGUGAAGACUAUGAAACGGGAGAUAACAAGGAAGAAGAUCGUUAUGAGCUUAUGAGGGCCAGCCUGAAGUUCCUGAUCCGCAACAUCACUGAAUAACAUGAUCGCUUUUGUUUGCAAAUAACGUCCUAGUGAGCAUGGGAUAACGCUUUUCUUUCUUUAUCAUCUCCUUUUGUUUUUCAAUGAGUUCCAAAUCUUGCUAGGUCAUUUUUCAAUGUAAUGCCAUAGUAGGGUUUUAAUAUUGUGAGCAUGACAUGGAAAUGUACUAAAUGUAACGUGAUUAUCAAAAUUGGACUUAUAGUAGCAAAACAUUAUAUAUUGACGCAAUUGUCUAACUAUGUUGGCAUUUUUGUUAUCUUUAAGCCUUUGAAUCUUGACAACUUGGAGAAGAUCUAAUGUAGUGGAGCCAAAAGAGCUAUGGUGAUAUCUAAUAUGAACUAACAUAAGUAUUACCGGUCUAUGGUUUAUCAUCCUUAUUUAAAAGACAUAUUUCAAAACAAGGACCACAUGAUGAUAAUAUGAAGUCUACGGGAUUGCAUUGUCACCAUGCUUUACACAUUGCGACGAGUCCUCAUCAAAUUGCGUAUUGGGUAAAUAAAGAAUAAGCACAACCAUACCAUCAGCAUAGACUAGGACCAAAUGAGAAAAAAAUUAAAAAGAGAAGAAACAGCGUUUUAAAGUUCCGCUUAUCUUCUCCAUAUGUUCAGACAGUAAAGGUCAUUAUAAAGUAUCAUUGGUUGUUAAUAUGGCAUCCCUAAGCAUGAAGCCUCCAUAUGUGCAAGAUAAUUAUUUUAGGGACAUUAAUAAUUUCAAUAUUGGAAAGAAGUUUAAUAAAAAUUGGAGUUGGAUGAACACUUGCCAAAAGGCGACAUCAACAUAGUUUAUUGUGGGGAUAAAUGGUUAUCAAGAUGGUAUUAGUGUCAUAACUAUUGUACACUGCUCACUUUAGUACCAAUAUCUUGCAUAUGGCUCUUUAUGUGUCACAAUGUUCAAGGAGCAAUCACUUAAAUAAUUUCAAUGGCGCAAAAUCUGACGUGAAUCAUCAAAAUUUGCUUAAAUGAACACUUUUAGAUAGUUUUGGCUCUAGAUUGAUAGCACUAAAGUGAUCAUUAUUAAAGUUUUGGGAUAAAACAUUUUACAAUUGUGUGAUGCAUUAUUUAUAUACCGACAACAUCGUUCAAUCAUUUUUUUUCACAAAUUGAGAAAUUGGUUAAAUUGGUUCCCAAACAUCACCUAUCAUUGAUCCUCACAGUUGAUCAAAGAGAAAUAAUCAUUUUUCACAAGGCCACAUUUGUUGAUUCUAGAAUUAGUUGGUUCGCACUUUGAAAUAGGAAAUUGAAUCGGACAGGGCGGGUUCCCCAUUUAUGGAACCAGAAGCCGAUCCUGUCCACCCGGUCCAGUCCUUAAUUGGACUAGGAUCGAUGGUGCAUAUAAGAAUUUAUUGAGCUAGUCCCCAAAAGAGAAAAAAUGGGCAAAUGCAAAUGCAAAUGCAAAUGCCAAAAAAAAAAAAAAAAAAAGCCUAUGAGGUUAAAAGUCACAUAUUUUUCGUAACUAAAAAAGCAGAGUCCACCUGAUUUAAGAUAAAAGAAAAUGAACAAGAAAAGAAAAAAACAAAAAAAUCAUCUCCACCACUGUAGAUAGUUAGAACUACAUCUUCAAUAAACCAACUAGAUGAAAUUUAAUGAAUCCCCCUUAACUUAUGCUUGUCCCGCUACAUUUCUUAAGCAAACUCCAUCUUAAUGCACCUCGACACGAUGCCAACAGCAGAGGAGUUAAAGCAGAUACUCAUUCAAGCAUAGUAAUCAAAGUCUUGUCAACAUGAACUAUUUCACAUUUCUUAAACAUGUCAAUUUCCAAAGUUUCAAUUCAAUUGAAUCUCAUCUCUGGAAGCACACAAUCCAUACAGACCACUUGAUACUUAACAAAACAAGUGCUUCCACACUUGCAUGGACGGAAAAUUAGGAUGAGAAAGUUAUUUACAAAUUUGUUGAUAACUAAAUUUUGAUGACUCAUUAAGGCAUUCAUUGCAUAGAAAAUUAAGAAUCUAACCCUGACUUUUAAACAAAAAUUCCUUAAAUUACAAUUGCGUAAUAGGAUAAUUUUUUCGUUUAAUAACAUUAAGUCCACAUAAACUGUGUUCUAAUUGGAUUGGAGCUAAUGGUCUCAAGCAGAGAAGCCUUGAACUUCAUUAAAUUUUUGAAUUAAGCCUCCAAGAGCAUGAAAAUUUGGAGCAAGCCCGUUAUUCCCCUUCUUGGCCGAAAUUCCCAUGUGCUUUACCCGCGUGGUAUUUCAAAUCAAAAGAUAUUCAUUCAUUGGGGGCAAACUUGGGGAGUAAUUAAGCUUUAUAUAAUCAUUUUUUAUGUCACGUGGAAAUAAAAGAGAGGUUUCUUAUUCAUAACUAUUUCAUAUAUCCUUUAUAGGUAAGUGAUAUCUUGCAAGAAUACCCUAAUCACAUCCUAUGUAAACCUUGGCUCCUUUUAGAUUAUGGAGAGUUUGUGCACUAUAGAGAGGUUGGGAUACAUUGGAGGGAGGUGAAACACGUGAGAAAAAAAGAGUGAGAAUUCCUCUCCGUCGUUUCCACUAGCCAGCCUCUUUCCUUGCGUUGUCCACUCUUACAAGCCCAGCCUCCGUGCCUCGCCAUUGUGACCAGCACCUACGCCGGAUCCUCAGCUGCUCUGCCGGUCCGCUCCAGUGAUCCCUGCACAAACCAACGCCACCGUGACUAGUCACCUCAUGUCCAAACACCUGCCUUGACAACUCCAACAGACUAGCAACGCUCCCAACAUCGCUAGUAUACUAAAUCAGCCUAAGGGUGAUAUGGCAGUUUAGCAAAGAGCAAUAUACCUUAUCAGCUUAGAUUGAGCACUGUCAGUAUACUAUAUCAGCCUAAGGGUGAUAUGACAGCUUAGCAAAGAGCAAUAUACCCGAUCAUCUUAAAAGCGAACUAUACUAUCUAUUUAUCAGCUUAGUAGUGAGUAGUCUUAAUAUGAAUGGACUUAUAGAUAAUAUGAGAUGAGCCGACCAAGAAUGGGUCGAGAUGACAUGUAAUUGACUAAGCCGAUUGAUCGAUGAUUUGAUCUGAUUGAUGUGAUGUGAUGUGAUCGUGUAUAUUUGAUAUAUAUACUGACUUGCAGGAAGGAACUGAGGCCAAGGUGAGUCCUCUAACUCGUGUUGUGCUUAGGCAACCUCUAAAAUGUAUUAGCUUCCUAAUCGGGUCUUAGGGAGUAGAACUUGCUGAGACGUUGUCUCAUUGGUUAUUGAAUAACCAUUUUUAGGUCCUUAGAUGGCAUUGGUGAAGGACCAGAGGCCCGAAGUAUAGAAGGCGAAGCCUGAAGAACUGAUGAUCCUAUUGGACUAGUUAGUCAUAGGACAAUCCUCUUUUGAUGGGAGUUGAUUCCCUUUCUGCAUAAUUUGUUUUAUGAACUAGUGGUUUAGAACCUGACUUAACAAAUUGACUUGUAUAUAUAUUUGCACUAUGAUUUGCAAUGUAUAUAAGUGUGGUUGUUUUUAGAACUCAAAUUUGAAAUCCUACUUUCCUUUCCCAUUGCUUUAUUGUUUGUGGAUUUUAUAUACUUCCACAUGCGUAUUAAAAUGAAAGGGUUGGUGAUGUGUCCUGAGACGUCGCUAUUAAUCGACCAAGGUGAGGGGUGGGUGCGUGCCCGAGGAUCGAGGUGUGACAAACAAGGUCGCCUUUGCCAAAUUGGGUAAGGCCAAUUAUAAUAUUAUCAAAAUAUUACAAAAAAAUGUUCACAUUAGUUCUAGUUGUAUCAAGUAGCUAGCCAUGUCAUGUAGAACGACUAGCGUCCAUGUUAGUGACUUUUGGCGUAAUUGAUCAGAUGGACUAAAUUGGUAUAAAUGUAAAAAUAUUUGGACUAAAGUUGUACAAUUAAAAUGUUUAUGAUUAAAUUGAUAUCAAUGUGAUAGGUUUAAUUUUUUUUAAUAUUUUUCUCAAGAAAAUUGUCCUAUUAAUCUUAAAUUUAUUGUAUGGAUGUCAAUUCAAUUCUAAUUAUCCAAUUUUGCCAUUUCAAUUCUAAAUCUUUUCUUGAAAUUCAAAUAUAAUAGUUCCAGUCAAUUUUUGCGGUAAAUCACUAAUGUGGUGAUUUGGCAUGUAAUAUGGCCAGAGAUGACUGGAUUGUCAUGUUAGCUAUUUCUGACAAAAAUUAACUAGGAGGACUAUAUUAGAAUUCUACAAAAAUAUUUAGGAUUAAAUUGACAAAGUCGAAAAGUUUAAGAUUAAAUUGGUAUCCGUAUUAUAUGAUUAGAAUUGAUUGGAUAAUUUUCUCGAGUGACCGUAGGUGCACGUGUUGAUGUUGGGGGGGCGGGGGAGGGAGGGAGGGAGGGAGAGAGAGAGAACUUGGGGCUGUCGAAAGAGUUGUACACACAUGGUCAUCUAGGUAAUCCGAGUAGUAUAGAUUGUGAUAUCAGAUAAUCAUCUGCCCGAAGCGAAAAUGAUGCACCUACUAAAACCAAAUCUGAAGUGCAGUGCAUUAAGUAGCGACACAAUUGAGCUGGUGACUCCAAACAAAAGUGUCGAUGCAAUUAAUUCCUUUUUUUGACCGCACUACAUCUUCGUGCGAUUCCUCGGGGAUUCGCAGGAAGUGACUCCGAGUACCACUCGAUGACCCCUGUGGAGGACCGUGAAUUUGAGCCAUGCAACACGACUUGCACAUCAUUUCGAUGUACAAAUUCAUUGGCUUGGUACAUAAGACGACAAUGAGGAACAAGCGAUUAUGCCAAAUGGUGAAAAGGCAUUACACUUUUCCACGACGUUAUCCACAAAGAGACAACCCGCCCAACUUUCAAGCUUCUUCAAAGGUCAAAUACAAUAUACAUAGAAUAAAGUAGGCAUUAAUCAGUAACAGUUCUUUACCCAAUGGAAGAGAGUUUGAGCCAAAGUGCCAUGUUGUUUUGUUUAAUCUUGGACGAUACACGAUAAUGCACCUACACGCGUGGUGGGAAUAUGUAAGAUUAAACCGAUGAAGAUUCAAAUAAUGUCCUAUCCAAUAAUUUUUGCUGCAAGAACAAAAAGGACAACAGGUGAAUAAGAUUCAUUCUUCCUGUAUCAACUUUGGCCAUUAGAAUAAUGAAGAGGGGACCAUUCUUAGGACUAUAUAGGUGGUCGUAAUCUAUCAAACCCAAGAAUGUUUCACUAUCCUGAAAAGAAAUAAGAUGGCGAUGAGCAUGUUCAAAAUUUGUCCAUGCCUAAUGCUGAUAUUGCUUUAGCUUGCGAACUCCCGUGCACGAGUUGCCCUUGACAUGAUCCAAGGGAAGAAACUUAGUAAGGCGGUUUGAGCAUUACGUGAAGACCGUGGAAAGGGAGAUAACGAGCAAGAAGGUCGGUACAAUCUUAUGAGGGUCAGUCCUGUAGGUCUUGAUCCGCAACAUCACUGAAUAAGACGAUUGCCACCUUCUUUUAUUCUCGAAUAGCAUCCUAGUGAGCAUGAAAUAACGCUCUUCUUUCUUUAUUGUCUCCUUUCAUUUUUCUAUGAGUGGCCAUCGCGGGGACAGUCCAAGGACGAAGAUGGGAGGAAAGAAAGGGAAAAAGAAAAAGAAAAGAAAAAAUUAAUAAAAAAAUUCAAACAAAAUAAAAAAAAUUAUUAAAUAAUGAUCACGUUAGCAUUUAGCCACCAGCUGGCAUCCACAUCGGCAUCCAACCACCGACUAACGUCUACGUCAGUGCCGGCUGGUCAAAAUUAGCCAGAUUGAUAGAAUUUGUACAAAUGUGAAAAUUUUUAAAACUGAAUUGGUUCAAUUGAAAAGUUUAUAACUAAAUUAAUACCAAUGUAAUAGAUUUAUGAUUUUUUUUUUUGUACUUUUCCUGUUUAAAUUUUUGAGUUGGACAUUCAAUUAGUCUAAAUUUAAAAGACAUAUUGUAAAGCCAAAACCACUUGAUGAUACAUUUGAUGUGACAUCCUGAAAUUCGACCCCGUUUCGAUAAAGUGAAAUGGGCAUUUCGUCGACGUGUUUACGGUCAUUUUUCUCUGAGCUGAUCACUCACCAGUUAACUGACCUAUUGGGUGAAGCCGUUAAGGGAUGUAUCUGCAGUAAAAUCCAUAAAAGCUACUCAAUUUGUUGGAUUGGACUAAAAUCACGUCUGACAGAUUUUUAACCACGAAAUUGAACUCGAUUUCGGGAAUCGAAUUUUAAGCAUGUCAUAAUCUUUUUUUUUAAGGACAUUGUCUCAUCGCUCGUCAAUUUAUUGACGAGUCCGAAAUUUCAAGAAAGAAAUUAUCGGAAGAAAAGUUGAAGACCAAAAGAAAAUAGAAAGGAAAAGAGAAAAGAAAAGAAAAUUAAGGCCAUUGUUUUAUUUCUUUUCUCUCUCUCCCUCUCUUUUCCUUUCUUUUCUUUCUUUUUCUUUCUUUUCUCUCUUUUCUCUCUCCCCUCCCCCUCGUGCGUUUUACCCCCCAACCGAACACCCACUUGCCAAAUUCAAUUUGGCUUCUUCUCUCGCCCAAUUUGACUAGUCAAACCCUUUCCUCUCUCUCUCUUAUCUCUUCUUCUCUCUCCUCUCUCUCUCUCUCUUUCUUUUUCUUCUUCUUCCUCCCCACGCAUCCGAAGAAGCGAACCAGAAGUUGCAGGAGACCGGAGCAGAAGCUGCAGCUCGUCGUCGCCAUCGUCCCGCCGCCGCAUCGCCCGCGUCGCGCCCGUGCGCCCGCCGCUCGCCGUCAUCUCGCCGUUCCGCCGUCCGUCGCUCGCUGCAGCACCUCCCCUGAGCGAAUCCGUGCGGCCCAGCCCCUGUUCCAGCCUGUCCGGCCACCUCCGGCCACCGCCCAGCCCCGCCGGACCUCCCCCGUGACCCCCUCGCCCUCCGCCGGCCUCCCCUCGCCGCCCUAGCUGCCGGAGCCGCCCCGAUCAGCUCCGUCCAGCAGACCCACGAAAUGGGUUUCCAGCUGGUUCGGGCCCGUUUUGGGCCGUUUCCCAGCCCCGAACCCGAGCCGUGCUUUGGGAACAAUCGUUCCUCGCGUCACCGCCGUCGGAUUGAUCCGAUUUGCGCGCGAUUUGGUGAGUAAUCUCACUAAUCUUGGAUUAGUUGGCUAAUUAUGCUUAAGGUUGGUUUAGAUUUAAUUAAUUAUGUUUAGGUUGUUAGAUUAGAAUAAAUUAGCAAUUAUUAGUGAAUUGUGAUGCGAUUUAAAUAAUUGAUUGCGCAAUUAACAAGUAGACGUGGUCUACUAAUUAUUGGAAGUGCUUCGGGAAUUUUCCCGACCCUUAGUGGGCUCCAAUUAGGCUUUUCGGGCCUAAGUGGAUAUUUUUAGUAUUUAAAUAUUAAUUUUCGAAAUUAAAUUAAAUAAUUAUUUAUUUUUUGAAAAUUCAAGGGAGAUGGUUCGGAACCGGAAUAUUGUGCUGAUGACUGUGGUGAAGUUCGUUUAUUUAAUCGGGCUUUAUUUUGAGCCAAAUGGGAUUUUUAAUAUUAAUUAUUUAAUAUUCGAAAUUAAUUAAUUAUUUAUUUAUUUUCCGAAAAUUCAACUGAGAUGGUUUGGAGCCGGAAUAUUGUGCUGAUGAUCGUGGUGAAGUCCGUUUAUGUAAUCGGGCUUUAUUUUGAGCUAAAUUGAAUUUUUAAUAAUAAUUAUUUAAUUUUCGAAAUUAAUAAAUAAAUUAAUUAUUUUUCGGAAAUUAAGAUUUUGAUGGCUGACGACCAAAAUCUCGUGCUGAUCAUCGUGGCGUAGCCCGUUUAUUUAUUUGAGCUCCACGUUGUAUGGAAUUGAAUAAAUUGUGAUAUUUUAGGGAUUUACCCUAAAUUGGUUGGAAUCGAUUGAGAUUGAAUUAUUGAUUGGUGAUUGACCAAGUAUGUUAUUCAACAUUUAUAAUGCUUUGUUGAGUUGAUUUAAUUAAUUGAUUGAGAAAUCGUUGGGUAUUGGAAUAUCACCUGGAAAAUGCACGUGAGUUUAGUGGUUGAUUAUAUUGAAUUGUUUACGUUGGCUCUGUGAUCAGUGUAUCACCAUGGCGAAAAAGACGCCCGAGAGCAUAUUGAAUUGUUUACGUUGGCUCUGUGAUCAGUGUAUCACCAUGGCGAAAAAGACGCUCGAGAGCAUAUUGAAUUGUUUACGUUGGCUCUGUGAUCUGUGUAUCACCUUGGCGAAAAAGACGCCCGAGAGCAUAGUAAAGUGUGCACUGUAUGUCACCUUGGCGAAUCGACGCCCGAGAGCAUUGAUGGAGCUCUGUGACUAAGUGCAGGCAUCUAAAAGGGCACGUGGCUCGGUGACUUGAUGUAUCACCUUGGCGAAGAGGUCGCCUUAGAGAAUACACGUGGGCCCAAGGUUCGAGGCACGUGACUCGGAGACUUGGAAGGUCAUCCUGGAGAAUACACGUGGCCUAGCUUUUAAAUAUCCCACAGUGGGGAUUGAUUUGUUUGGCAUGUAAUCGACUAGGUCGAUGCUUUGAUUUGAUGUUGUGAAUUGAUUGCCUGAAUGGAAAUGACCGUGAGUGGUCUUGUUGGAAUAUAAUCGACUAGGUCGAUUUGAUCGAUGCUUCGAUCGGUGAUAUGAUUGCUUGGAUGCCUAUUAUGAAUUGUACUGACUUGCAGGUGGGAUCAGAGGCCAAGGUAAGUCCUCUGCCCUGUGCGUGUUUAGGC
rnacentral:lncRNA from 1 species